GCAGGAGACCUUGCCUUUUCAAUCGUUGCUACUUUUGUGCUAGCGUUCUUAAGGCAAACUUGUUUAACUCAUGUCUUGAUGACCCACAAGUGUAGGGGAUCUAUCGUAGUCCUUUCGAUAAGUAAGAGUGUCGAACCCAACGAGGAGCAUAAGGAAAUGACAAGCGGUUUUCAGUAAGGUAUUCUCUGCAAGCACUGAAAUUAUCGGUAACAGAUAGUUUUGUGAUAAGGUAAUUUGUAACGGGUAACAAGUAACAAGUGUAAAUAAAGUACAGCAAGAUAGCCCAAUCCUUUUUGUAGCAAAGGACAAGCCUGGACAAACUCUUAUAUGAAGGAAAACGCUCCUGAGGACACAUGGGAAUUAUCGUCAAGCUAGUUUUCAUCACCCUCAUAUGAUUCGCGUUCGGUACUUUGAUAAUUUGAUAUGUGGGUAGACUGGUGCUUGGGUGCUGUCCUUCCUUGUACAAGCAUCCCACUUAUGAUUAACUCCUAUUGCAAGCAUCCGCAACUACAAGAUAAGUAUUAAGGUAAACCUAACCAUAGCAUGAAACAUAUGGAUCCAAAUCAGCCCCUUACGAAGCAACGCAUAAACUAGGGUUUAAGCUUCUGUCACUCUAGCGACCCAUCAUCUACUUAUUACUUCCCAAUGCCUUCCUCUAGGCCCAAACAAUGGUGAAGUGUCAUGUAGUCGCCGUUCACAUGACACCACUAGAGGAGAGACAACAUACAUCUCAUCAAAAUAUCGAACGAAUACCAAAUUCACAUGACUACUUAUAGCAAGACUUCUCCCAUGUCCUCAGGAACAAACGUAACUACUCACAAAGCAUAUUCAUGUUCAUAAUCAGAGGGGUAUUAAUAUGCAUAAUAGAUCUGAACAUAUGAUCUUCCACCAAGUAAACCAACUAGCAUCAACUACAAGGAGUAAUCAACACUACUAGCAACCUAUAGGUACCAAUCUGAGGUUUGGAUACAAAGAUUGGAUAUAAGAGAUGAACCAGGGUUUGAGAGGAGAUGGUGCUGGUGAAGAUGUUGAUGAAGAUUGGCCCCCUCCCGAUUAGAGGAUCGUGAUGACGAUGGUGAUGAUUUCCCCCUCCCGGAGGGAAGUUUCCCCGGCAGAACAGCUCUGCCGGAGCCCUAGAUUGGUUCCGCCAAGGUUCCGCCUUGUGGCGGCGGUGUUUCGUCCCUUAAGCUUGCUUAUGAUUUUUCCAGGGUAGAAGACACCAUAUAGCCAAAGAUGGGCACCGGAGGCCUACCAGGGGGCCCACGAGGCAGGGGGCGCGCCCAGGGGGGUAGGGCGCGCCCCCCACCCUCGUGGAUGGUGGGUGGCCCCCCUCUGGUAGUUUCUUCGCUUAGUAUUUUUUAUUAAUUCCAAAAUUGACUUCCGUGGAGUUUCAGGACUUUUGGAGUUGUGCAGAAUAGGUCUCUAAUAUUUGCUCCUUUUCCAGCCCGGAAUUCCAGCUGCCAGCAUUCUCCCUCUUCAUGUAAACCCUGUAAAAUAAGAGAGAAUAGGCAUAAGUAUUGUGACAUACUGUGUAAUAACAGCCCAUAAUGCAAUAAAUAUCGAUAUAAAAGCAUGAUGCAAAAUGGACGUAUCAUGUCUGUACUCAGAUAUUGUUGCUUCCACUAACUCGUUUGUAUUUGAGCCCUCGAGGCCCCUGGCUUGUAAUAUAAAGCUUCAAUUAUUUUAAUUUCUGUCUAGAUUUGUGUUGUGAUAUCUUCCCGUGACUUCCUGAUCUUGAUCGUACAAAUUUGCGUGUAUGAUUAGUGUACGGUCAAUCCGGGGGCGUCACAAUGCACGUGUUGGGAAACGUAGCAUGCAAUUUCAAAAAAAUUCCUAUGCUCACUCAAGAUCUAUCUAGGAGAUGCAUAGAAACGAGAGGGGGAGAGUAUGUCCACAUACCCUCGUAGACCGAAAGCGGAAGCGUUUGACAACGCGGUUGAUGUAGUCGAACUUCUUCUCGUUCUGACCGAUCAAGCACCGAACGUACGACACCUCCGAGUUAUGCACAAGUUCAGCUCGAUGACGUCCCUCGAACUCUUGAUCUAGCAAAGUGUCGAGGGAGAGUUCUGUCAGCACGACGGCAUGGUGACGGUGAUGGUGAAGUGAUCCGCGCAGGGCUUCGCCUAAGCAUACGAAGAAAUGACUGGAGGCGUAAACUAUGGAGGGGGGCGCCGCACAUGGCUAACAAUUGUUGGUUUGUGUUCUAGCGGUGCCCCCCUCAUAUAUAUAGGGUGGAGGGGAGGAGAGGAAGCCAAGGGGGCGCCCCAAGUAGGAGGAAUCCUACUUAGGCGCCUCCCAAUUCGGCCUCCCCCCUUACCAUAUCCAUCGGAGGGGGAAGGAAAGAGGAGGGAGGAGGGAAGGAAACGGGAGGCCGAAUCCCUCCCCUUCCUUCUCUCUUCUCCCCUUUCCUUUUCCUCAGGUGUGGCCCAUAUGGGGGGCGCAGCAGCCCUUGCUGGCUGUUGCGUUUCCCCUCUUGGCCCAUUAGGCCCAUAUAGUUUGCGGGGGAAUGCCCAGAACCCCUUCCGGUGACCCGAUACGUACCCGGUACCCCCACCCCGUAACACUUCUGGUGUCCGAAUACUAUCGUCCUAUAUAUGAAUCUUUACCUCUCGGCCAUUUCGAGACUCCUCGUCAUGUCCGUGUCUCAUCCGGAACUCUGAACAACAUUCGGUCACCAAAUCACAUAACUCAUAUAAUACAAAAUCGUCGUCGAACGUUAAGCGUGCGGACCCUACGGGUUCGAGAACUAUGUAGAUAUGACCAAGACACCUCUCCGGCCAAUAACCAACAGCGGAACCUAGAUGCUCAUAUUGGUUCCUACAUAUUCUACGAAGAUCUUUAUCGGUCGUAUCGUAAUGACAACAUACGUUAUUCCCUUUGUCAUCGGUUGAUGACCCACAAGUGUAGGGGAUCUAUCGUAGUCCUUUCGAUAAGUAAGAGUGUCGAACCCAAUGAGGAUCAGAAGGAAAUGAUAAGCAGUUUUCAGUAAGGUAUUCUCUGCAAGCACUAAAAUUAUCGGUAACAGAUAGUUUUGUGAUAAGGUAAUUUGCAAUGGGUAAAAAGUAAUGAAAGUAAAUAAGGUGCAGCAAGAUGGCCCAAUCCUUUUUGUAGCAAAGGACAAGCCUGGACAAACUCUUAUAUAGAGAAAAGCGCUCCCGAGGACACAUGGGAAUUAUCGUCAAGCUAGCUUUCAUCAUGCUCAUAUGAUUCGCGUUCGGCACUUUGAUAAUUUGAUAUGUGGGUAGACUGGUGCUAGGGUGCUGUCCUUCCUUGGACAAGCAUCCCACUUAUGAUUAACUCCUAUUGCAAGCAUCGGCAACUAUAAGAGAAGUAUUAAGGUAAACCUAACCAUAGCAUGAAACAUAUGGAUCCAAAUCAGCCCCUUACGAAGCAACGCAUAAACUAGGGUUUAAGCUUCUGUCACUCUAGCAACCCAUCAUCUACUUAUUACUUCCCAAUGCCUUCCUCUAGGCCCAAACAAUGGUGAAGUGUCAUGUAGUUGACGUUCACAUAACACCACUAGAGGAAAGACAACAUACAUCUCAUCAAAAUAUCGAGCGAAUACCAAAUUCACAUGACUACUUAUAGCAAGACUUCUCCCAUGUCCUCAGGAACAAACGUAAUUACUCACAAAGCAUAUUCAUGUUCAUAAUCAGAGGGGUAUUAAUAUGCAUAAAGGAUCUGAACAUAUGAUCUUCCACCAAAUAAACCAACUAGCAUCAACUACAAGGGGUAAUCAACACUACUAGCAACCCACAGGUACCAAUCUGAGGCUUUGGGACAAAGAUUGGAUACAAAAGAUGAACUAGGGUUUUAGAGGAGAUGGUGCUGGUGAAGAUGUUGAUGGAUAUUGACCCCCUCACUACAACAAGAACCCCCCUAUAGCAACGCAUUGAUGCGUUGUUGUAUGCCCAUAUAGGUGUUGCUAAGGCCUACACCAAAGGAUUAAUAUGCGUUGCCGUUGGUGGCGUUGGAAGGGCCUACAACAACGUAUAUAAAUGCGUUGGUAAACGGCAUGAAAAAAUGUUGCAAUCUAGCAACAUAUAUAAUUAGAUUCUAACAACACUUCAUAUGUGUUGCUCGCUACACUGCAGAACAUGAUUUUCAAUUGGACACAACAGAUCGUUGCAACGUAUAGAAGCGUUGCUACCAUCAUGAACUACAAUUUCAUAUAUUGGUAUCCAGAAUGAUGUGGUCGGUGCUGACAAAGCAUGGAGCCACAAUAUAUUGAACAUAAACGUCUCAUAUAUUAAUUUGACUUUGUUGCAUUACAAAGAACAUGAUCCAAAGGUUACAAUAAGUGAUACUAACAUAGUAGCUAAGUCUGGACGUUUCAAUCAACGCCCCAACCAUUCUAAAACAUAAUGUUUGAGUUAUCGACACUGGAAAUGACAUCGUAAAACACUACAUAAGACUAUCCAACAGCAGCCCCAUUCUCCAUCUUGCAAUCAACAUCUGGGCCAUGCAUCAUCAAUUUAUCUUAGCAAUCUACAACAAUAAAGAAAUGAGAUCAGUAAGUUAUUGUAGAGAAAAUAAGGUGAAGAGCGACAAAAUUAAAGAGGAGCAACAUACAAAGGUUGAUGGCCAUGCGAUAAUUAAUCCUGCUGCAUGACCAAUAAUGUUGACCUUUUUUAGAGGUCGUAUCAACUGAUCUGAUUUUGCUAAUGUAGCAUCAAUUCGCACUGCCCAGAAUUGAUUACCAAGAUGAACACCCUCAACUUUAUAUUCUGGGUUAGUGCUUUGGAGUGUACCAAGAGCAACAUUCUUGUUUGGAUUUCCCAAGCUCUUGAAAAAUACUAUAGUGCCAACCUGUUCGUAAAAGAGAAAACCAUUUGUAGUAUAAGCAAUUUGAAACAUGCAGAUAAUCAUGUGUAACAUAAACUUAAUACCCAUACAUCUAUCGAGUCGGCACCCAGGCAAUUUGUUGCACCGCACUGUUGUUUCUGUAGAAUAUAUUUUGUGCAACAUUAGUAUGCAAUAUACUUGAAGCAGAACUGAAACAGAGAAGAAGAAUAUUUAGAAGAUGUAUGUCAUACAUUGGCAUGCUUUGUUGCAUUACCUCCUCUUGAGACUUUACUAAUGUUCUGGCCACCAUGCUAAUGGCAAGAUGCAAAAUAAACAGAAUAAGCAAAAAAACUGAAUAGAGAUGUACACAUGAGGAAUCAGAAUGGUACCGUAUACACAGAGUAUGCUCUAACCCAUUGAGGUGUGUUGUUAAGUUGGAGUUCAAUUUAAUAGUGCAAGCAUAACUGUUUAGUAAAUGAUGGCAUGUCUUGUCGUGCACUAGGUUGUUGUGCAAGAAGGCUACAUGUAUAUAAUAAUUGUUAAGUUCCUUUUUGUAGCUACUAUCUCUUACAAUGCCACUUAUCCUCUCUGUUAUGUUAAGAACUACUGCUGCUAGCAAUGUAUUUCUUAGCAAAUCUACACAACAGUUUAGUGAUUGUUUUUUCAUGUAUGAGUAUGCAAACGAAAGGCUGAAAUAGCAAUGUGAAGAGAUUUUUCAUCUUGGUGAAAGUAAUUGCACUUUAUCUCUUAGAUUGUUAUCUUAGAUAUUUCUACUCAAUAUUGAAACUGUUAUUUAUGUCACACAUCAUUUCUAGCAUGCGUAUGCGCUGGAAAUGUGCAAAAAAAAAUCUUGACGCAUGAGAGCAGAGAUGCAUUGUGAAAGAAGCUUUAGAAGUUUAAAAGAUAUGGAGUGCACUAACCUUAUUUGCACUAGAGUUUUCCUUCUCUUGUUGCACAUUUUCAUCAUGGAUAGAAGUAUCUUUGUUCUGUGACAGGAGAUAUAUCAGAAGAUUUGGAAGAAUUGUAAUAAACAUUCCUACCGUGAGAAGACCAAGUAACAAUUGAUUGUUGCUCAACCAUAUUGGACUCCAAACAAUACAUAAAUGAGCAUACCUUAUCCUUAGAAGGACGUUUGUUUGAUGGUUGCAUCUCCAUGUCAUAGAGAAAGUUUUCCUUGCUCUGUAAUGAAUGUCAAGAGUAUUAAUUUCUAUAAAAAAACAGAAUAUAUUAAUGCAUCCAUACACUACCAUCACAUUAUUAUUCUGCCCAACGUUACCAAGUUGUUGACUAUGGCUGUCGCUAUAUACUCUCUGUCUGUUGAAACAAAAUAAGAAAAUGAUCAUAUUUAUUUAAAUGACUUCAACUUUUAUUAUUAGAAUAUUCUAGAGAUAAUUACUUUUUGUUUUGAAUUUGUCUUGCCAACACAGAGAGCAUCUUGAGAUGUAGACUUGUGACCCAAAGAACCCUGUAAAGAGAACCUAACAAUUAAUACAUGUAUUGAAUAAUGAAGAGCAUUCUAAAAUUUUGCUCGUUUUGAAACGGAUUCAGAGCUGAGAAUAAAUAAGCGUACACAAGAUAACCACAUAAUGAAAAGAAGCAACAAGACCUACGCAAGGAGUAUCUGGUGCUUUAGAUCUGAUCUCAUUGGUGUAUCAUCAUAAAAGUUUUAAUGGUAAUCUUCUCAAGAUUCUCGACAUUGGUAAUAAGUUAAGAAAAGGAAGGAGAUACUAACCUUAUCUGCACUAGUGUUUUUCCUCUGUUGGUGCACAUUUUCAUCAUGGACCAAAGUUUCAUUGUUCUGUGACAAAAGAUAUACUAUAAGAUUGGCAAGAACAAUAAUAAACAUUCCUGCUGCAAAAUGUGUGAGUAAUUCUAAAUUGCUACUCAACCAUGUCUGAUUCUAAACAAUAUAUCAAUGAGAAUACCUCAUCCAUAGCAGGGCAUUUGUAUGAUGGUUGCACCUCCAUGUCAUUGAGAAAUGUUUCCUUGCUCUGUAAUGAAUGGCGAAAGAUGAUUAAUUUCUAUGAAAGCAAACAGAAAUGUAUUAAUGCAUCCAUACAUUACCAUCACAUUAUUCUGCUGCCCAACAGUAUGAAGUUGUUGACUAUGACCGUCACCAUAAAUUCUCUGUCGAUUGAAACCAAACAAGGUUAAGAACAUACUUGCAAAAUGGCUUCAAAAUAUUUAUUAUACCAUUCUAGAGACACAUACUUUUCUUUUUGAAUUUGUCUUGGCAAUAGAAGGAACAUCUUGAGAUGCAGAUAUCUGAUCCAAAGAACCCUGUAACUACUACCUAAGAAUUAGUACAUGUAUUGAAUAAUGGAGAAAUUCUUCAAAUUUACCUGUCCUUCAGUGUUUUUUUUUCUUCCCUUAAUUUUUUCUCCAACUUCUCCAUUUUCAGUCUAACAACCAAAAGAUCUUCAUUUGAUGUAUCCUCCAAUGAACUAAGGUGUAUAUUCUGAAAGUGGCGUGAAGCUGACACAUCAAAGACUUGAUUUGGAUUCGGAACCCGUCCCAGGCCAUGUAUAUGUCCAGGCUUGUCUGCGCCAAGUACCGCAUUCAAAACAUCUCCCUUCCAUGUUGUCUUUCCUCUACUAGUAUCUACUAAAGCUGGAUUCUCCGCUAUACGCUUCUUCAAAUCAACCUAUAUACAUGAAUAGUGUAUGUCAGAACAAUGUGCUAAACAACAUUAUAAUUUUAAAUAAAAGAGUCGAUACUAUACCACUUGUUCAUUCAUAUUCUUGUCGCUUUUGUGCUUAUGUGUAUGCAUGUAUAAGACAGCCCUGUGUGGGUACUUCUUUUCUGGAUCCUUUAGUCUCUAUUGGUCAAACGGUUAAUUUAUUAAAGACCUGCAGUACAAAUGGGAUAUAGAUGCAUAAAGUUCGAGUUCUCAUAAACUGACCAUCUCUUCUCGAACUCGUGGAAAACUCUUAGUUCCAGCCGUGUGUUUGGACUUCCUCAUCGCACAAUUUCUCCUAUUCGUCUCACUUAUCCCCUGUCAAACAAUUGUAUAAUGUAUGCACAUGUAUUUUCCAUAAUUUCAUACCAUGACUGAGCAACAUGUACAUAACGAAUCUGGCGACUGUAUACGUACCUGUGCCUUCGGGGUCAUCCAAUUACUGACCAGAGUAAUCCACUGGUCCUUAAUCACACCCUUUGGAACAUUGGUGUUAUUCGCUUCCAUGCUCUUAUUUGCAUCAAAAUAUAGUGCUUUCAGAUCUGACUUAUGUUCCCUCCAUCUAUCUCCAACUUUUUUUAAUAUAAUCUUUUCCAUGCGAGGGGUAAAGAAACCUCAUCUACAUUUCAAAUAAAACUAUGGUUAUGACAAUGCUAGUAUGUAAAGCAUAAUGAUGUUAGCAAAAGAGAUUUAAUGUACUCCAAAUAUACCUUUACUUGCGCUAGUAUAUCCCUUUUGUUUCUUUGUUCAUUUGUCUUUUUUCUCUCUCUCCUAUUAUUUUUCUCCAGUCCUUGUAGCUCAAACUACACAAUUUUCCAUUCCUAGCAACCGUGCCAAGAAAAUUCCCAAGACGUGCAACUUCUUUUCCAACUGGCUGGUUUAGUUCAUUGCACUGGACCACAAUCCUCUGCCCUUUUGGAAGAUUCCAUGUUUCUUUUAGCCUUGUCCUCCCACGCUUGGUUGUUUCUCCAUUUUCAUUUGAUCAUGGAUAAAUGUCCAAAACAUUUAUAAUUAAUCACACAUAAACAAUUGUGUGAACUAUCUUUAGAUCAACAGUCUGAGGAACAACUGAUAGUGUUAUUCACCAUUUUAUAGAGCAUUACAUUGAUAACACGAUGGAAAAUCACCACUAAUGCAAAAUAAGUGAAUCUUACAGCAGUGCAAAAACAGGAUGCAGUGUACUAUUGCAUGCUGAAGCCUUUUGCCCAAUAGUUAGUGUAGCUAGCCAAGUAAAAACUUGAAAGUGCAAUGCAUUCCAUAUGCUACAUGGUUUAGUUUUAGUUGUUCUGAUGACCAUGGUCCUUACAGCCACACUAUACACCAUCACAUCUAAAAAGUUACCAUUCAGUUCUGUUCUGGAUAAGAUGGUACUGCAAUUGUUGAUUCUAAUUCUAAUUUUUCAGAAUGUCUAGCAGAGUGUCAAAAGGUAAUUACCUUGUUCAUUAGUAGCAGUGUCGUCCUGGUCCUCUUCAUCAUCGCUAUCAUCCAAGCCUUCUUCAACAUUACAAGAUGAUGGUUGAACAUGAGAUGACUCAACAUCUUUGAACAUGGCAUUCUCAUGUUCAACAUGUUCCUCAGUCAUGUAUUCAUCAUUGCAUUCAACCACAUUCUCAUGUUCAACAUGUUCCUCAGUCAUGUAUUCAUCAUUGCAUUCAACCACAUGUAGUUUACUUUGUGUCAUAUCAACUCCAGGAGGAAAACCAACACAAAAACUGAAAAAAAGAAGUAAAUUAAAUCAAUGCAGAAUGUACUGAGAAGCCUAGAGAGGUAUAAAUUUUCCCAUAGACAUUGUCUAAAUUAUGCAUAGCCAUGCCUUGUUUUCAGUUCUUACAAAAGAUUUAAGAAAAAAACAGUCACGUGCUCAUCACCUAGUUAAUUUACUGGUAUAUGGUCCUCUGAAUCACACCCGCAGCUAAGUGGUGAUAGGCUGAUCUUACUGUCAACUCCCCCUUCUGGUCUCCAUUCAUCACCAGCCUGUCUCCUAUAGCCAUAGCCACCCUCCCCUUCUCUGCUAUUUGUUCUGCCACAGCUAAUUGGUGGUAAGCUGAUCUUACUGCGAACCCCUUCUACUCAAAAUUAAGUCAGGCGAACUGACGCAGCUGACACACGGUCAAACUCAUCACUCAUAUGGUGGAACAGGGGAUCAAUCGAUCGAUCUAGUCACUGGCACUGAAUCGAUUUAUCUAUAAUUUAUUUGAGCCUUGGGUGCAAAGGCAGAUUCGCCACCACUCUCCACGGGUGAGGGACGAGUGCUCGUCGAGGGCAGCUGUGGCCGGCGGCGAACACAGUGGACGAAUCUAUUAGAGGAGAAGGAGGUUGAAUGCAAGAGAGAGCCCGGGGGGAGGGGGGAGGCACUGACCUACAAUCAGAGAGAUGGACAGAAUCGCCUGCCGCCGCUGGUCGUCAGAGAUGGCCCAGAAUCGCCUGCCGCCGCCAGCCGGGAGAGAUGACCCACGACUUGUGUUCAGCACGACUUGUGCUGUUGAGAUAGAUGGGGGGAGGUGCGCAAGAUUUUUGGGCAGUUACCUUAAUUCGGAGGGAAAUAGAAAAAUGGAAGGAAGAGACCGAGGGAAAGAGGAAAAAUAGAAGGAAAAAUGGAGGGAGUUGUCGUUGAUGGCGAUGCUCAUGAGCGUUCAUUCACUUUCGACCUCCACCGUCAUUUCGUCCGACAUUACUCUCAAUCUCUUUUUUAGUAUGAUGAUAUAAGACAGUUGAAAUAAAGUUUGCAUAUUAUUUUCCGUACAUUAGCUGAACUCGGGAUUGGAUUUGAAAAAUGACCCAAGUAUGAGCCGUUUAAGUUCAGUCUGAUAAUUCAUAGAAAGGCAUCGGCAAUCUAACUUUAGCCGCCACCCCAUGAUCCGAUCCCUCUUGUUGUCGCUACGGUAAGCCAACGGGCAAAGCCUGCACUGCAUGGCGGCGGCACGGAGGCUGCUGCUCAUUGAGAGCCCAAUAUGGAGGAGUGGUGGGCUGUUGCCGGACAGCGACAGUGAUGCGUGGUUGGGUUGCGGUUGCCGCCCGGUGACACUCAAGGUGGUGUUGAUAGUCCAGCACAACGAUCUUCAAUGGUGACACAUUCUGGCAAGGUCAUCAGAGAGAGAGGGAGUCGGUGGAUGAUCAUGGACUGCGGCGAGGUCGACAUGAGACCGAACAUAUGCAUGCAAUGGCAUGAUUGUUUUCGUUCAGGUUUUCUUUAGGGAAUCUUCUAAUUUUGGUUUGGGACAGCGAGGUGGUGACGCAAUCCCUGUUUAGGAAUAAUGUUCUCCCGGCUUUUUUCCUUGUUUCGUUGGUGUGUUUAGCGCCAACGGAGGGCAUGUGGGGCCAUGUCUCCGAUGGGUCCUCCAGGAUGCGGUCGGCCAACAUUCAUGGUGUUUGAAGUUUCUCCAGGUUCUUAUCGGCAUUUUCUUCUUUGAGGCGGCGAUUUGAUUUGCCUCCCACAAUUGUCUCCUCACCGCCAGUGGAUGCAGGAGAAAGAAGACUUCAGUAGGCUCAAAGAUUUAAAGGUAAUUUUAUCUUUCUAUAUAGGUGUUCUCAGUAGGACGUGUAAUAUGUAAUAUAUGGCCUUGGGCCCUUUCGCAAAAAAAGUUCGUCUGCCGCCUGCUGCCGCUGGUCGUCAGAGAUGGCCCAGAAUCGCCUGCCGCCGCCAGCCGGGAGAGAUGACCCACGACUUGUGUUCAGCACGACUUGUGCUGUUGAGAUAGAUGGGGGGAGGUGCGCAAGAUUUUUGGGCAGUUACCUUAAUUCGGAGGGAAAUAGAAAAAUGGAGGGAAGAGACCGAGGGAAAGAGGAAAAAUAGAAGGAAAAAUGGAGGGAGUUGUCAUUGAUGGCGAUGCUCAUGAGCGUUCAUUCACUUUCGACCUCCACCGUCAUUUCGUCCGACAUUACUCUCAAUCUCUUUUUUAGUAUGAUGAUAUAAGACAGUUGAAAUAAAGUUUGCAUAUUAUUUUCCGUACAUUAGCUGAACUCGGGAUUGGAUUUGAAAAAUGACCCAAGUAUGAGCCGUUUAAGUUCAGUCUGAUAAUUCAUAGAAAGGCAUCGGCAAUCUAACUUUAGCCGCCACCCCAUGAUCCGAUCCCUCUUGUUGUCGCUACGGUAAGCCAACGGGCAAAGCCUGCACUGCAUGGCGGCGGCACGGAGGCUGCUGCUCAUUGAGAGCCCAAUAUGGAGGAGUGGUGGGCUGUUGCCGGACGGCGACAGUGAUGCGUGGUUGGGUUGCGGUUGCCGCCCGGUGACACUCAAGGUGGUGUUGAUAGUCCAGCACAACGAUCUUCAAUGGUGACACAUUCUGGCAAGGUCAUCAGAGAGAGAGGGAUUCGGUGGAUGAUCAUGGACUGCGGCGAGGUCGACAUGAGACCCGAACGUAUGCAUGCAAUGGCAUGAUUGUUUUCGUUCAGGUUUUCUUUAGGGAAUCUUCUAAUUUUGGUUUGGGACAGCAAGGUGGUGACGCAAUCCCUGUUUAGGAAUAAUGUUCUCCCGGCUUUUUUCCUUGUUUCGUUGGUGUGUUUAUCGCCAAUGGAGGGCAUGUGGGGCCAUGUCUCCGAUGGGUCCUCCAGAUGCGGUCGGCCAACAUUCAUGGUGUUUGAAGUUUCUCCAGGUUCUUAUCAGCAUUUUCUUCUUUGAGGCGGUGAUUUGAUUUGCCUCCCACAAUUGUCUCCUCACCGCCAGUGGAUGCAGGAGAAAGAAGACUUCAGUAGGCUCAAAGAUUUAAAGGUAAUUUUAUCUUUCUAUAUAGGUGUUCUCAGUAGGACGUGUAAUAUGUAAUAUAUGGCCUUGGGCCCUUUCGCAAAAAAAAGUUCGUCCUUGAUAUCAGUUGAACUUAAGGACUAGCACAAAGUGAUGUAUUCUCCCCCCCCCCCUCACCCGGACUCAUCUCGACCCGUCGAGGCGACACAGGGUAUUAUGGCGUGGGGUGGAAGUCAUUGUCUUAACGCUCCGGUCUAGAUCUCGGUGUCGCCUUCCUCGAUCCACUCUAAUGUGUUGCGGCUCGUGGGCCUUCAAAUAGCAGGUGGUCAGUGACCGAGGUUAAAGCCAUGCUGGAUGGCGUUGUCGUUGAUGGCGAUGCUCAUGAGCGUUCAUUCACUUUCUUGGAGGCGACACCGUGGACUACGCCCUCUACCUUUGGCUCUAUGUGAAAACACUUUAUUCGACCUUUUGGAUCGGGCGGUGUUGGCAUUUUUGCAGCGUCCUUCUCAGCGGGUCAUCGUGGUGCGGUCCUUGGAUGGUGGCGGUGGGAUUCUUGCCGUGUGCCAAAUACGAGUUGGAUUUGCAAAUCCGUUAAAGAAAAGUGAGCAAAGUUUGAUAAAAGCUAGCUCGUUCGAUCAAGUAAGAACAGUGAGCGGAGUUUGAUUUUCACUUGUCAUUUUUUAAAACAAAAAUAUAAGAAGAUUAAAGAAAAAAUACGUAUGAGUUGCUCAAGUUUGACUGGAGUAUUAACUUGUGAUCGGAUCACAAAAUAAUUCUAGUACAUGUGUGUUUUGUAACUCGGUCAAGACAUGAAGAAAGCUUAGUCAAGGCAAGCUCAUUGGAUUUCAGCUCACCAUACCUCGAAUUAAAUGAUUUGUACAUAGUUUUAUAUAUAAUUUAAAUUCCAAUUUUUUUGCUGUUCUGUUCACCCAUGUGACGAACUAGGCAUCCCAAAAAUAUAUGAGAUGUUAGAUACAAAACAAAAAGAGAAAACAAACUAUGUUGAUUUUAAAUCAAGAUAAAUAAAAACAACACAUAUUCUAGAUAAAUCAUUGAGAAAGCAAACUGUAUUCAAAUUCAUGAGAAAUCAAACACCCAGUACAUUCAACAUUGAAUGCACAAAUGCCACAUCUGACAACUUACCACUGAAUCCUAACUGUAGCUACAGCAAGAAGAAAUUUACAUGGGGCAGUUACGCUUCACAGGUAGUAGAAAUGGUGGUAAAUACAAAGAAGGAUGCAUUCCCUCAUGUGGACUUGGAGAAGUAGGUGUGCUAACAAAACUGAGGUAUUUCCUUGGCCACUUGUAUCUGAUAGAUUGAAGUUCAGGAACAUGCUUCGACGACGACGUUUGAAUCGCAUUUCCUUUGAAUGAUUGUUCAGCAACAUUGGCAUUAUUCUCAAAUUAACUUCACCCCGAGCAUCAGCUGCAGAAAUAGUAUGUUUCAUUAACAAAAUUGUAGAUCUCACAGUAUUGUAAAGAUAAGCUACAUUUUUCAAACCUAUCAGGGAAAAACAAGACAUUAGAAGCAAACCUUUCAUUUAGUUCCAAAGCUUCAGGAUCAGAACUUGUAAUAGGAUCUACAGUUGUGCCUUCUAUAUCUCUUCUAGUCCACAUUUCAUUCCCAUGCGCAGUAUCAAAAAGCUCACCCAGAUUACUGACAUGAUAAGGUUCACUUUCUAUAUCAUUCCGUUCUUCACCCAUGUCAAAAUUGUCUCGAGGAGUCACCUUCGUCACAAAUGACCAUCCAGGAUUUGUACGGUCUUUCGUAUAGAAAACUUGGUCAACUUGAUUGGCAAAUACAAAAGGCUCAUCCUCUAUCUUCUCACCACCAUGGACUUGCUGUGAAAAAAUUCACAAGCGUACGACCAAACAUAUCUUUUCUUACUUCUUUUUCUUUAGUACUAUUAACCCAUUCACAUUUGAAUAGCACCACCGAAAAUUUUCUAUAAUAAUCCAACUCAAUUAUGUCAACUAUCUUCCCAUAGUACAUGGCAUCUCCAAGUAUAGGGUUAGUAUCACCUCAGAAGCAUAACUUGAUGUUUUUGCGGUCAAAACAACUCCACUGUUUUGCGUCUUCUUAUCAUAACGCUUGGGUCUAAAUCUAUAUCCAUGGGUACAGAAGCCUAUGUAUCUUCGUGCAACCUCAAUUGGACCACGAGCCAACCAUCUAAUAUCAUCAUCGAUGCUGUCAGUACCCCUUUGCUGCUCCAGCUGCAUUACCUACACCAACACGGAACUUAGAUAACAAAAACUCAAAAACAGAAUACUAAUAACAGGGAACUUACAUGAUCUCUAAACCAAUCAGGGAAGUUGGCAUGCUGCAUGCGCUCAAUGGUUUUUAGUGCUAGGCGCUUGUUGCGGGUUUUCCUUUUUAGUUCAGCACCAUGUGCUCUACAACACAUAUAAACACAAUUUUAGAUCAUAAAAUUAGUCAACAUGCUAACAAGUUAAGGUAAGACAUUUACAUGAGAUAUGGAGUGACAACAUCACAGUUGUAGAGCACAAAUCUAUGGGCUUGUAAGGACUCCAUAUCAUUCAAAGUGUAGGUGCGUGGUUUUCCCAAUGGAUUCCCUACUGGAGGAAAUAAUGUGGAUUCAUUUGCAUACAUUGCAGAUUCAUUCUCAUUUGGUUUGUCAUGAUUCCUUGAUGGUUGGUUGUGCUUAGUAGAGAAACCCUCUAAGUAUCUUGAGCAAAAGGCCAUGCACUCAUCCGCCAAAAAUGAUUCAGCAAUUGAACCCUCAGGGCGAGCUUUGUUGCGAACAUAUGACUUCAAUUUACCUAGGUACCUGCACACAUGUCAAAACAUCAAUUUAGCAAGUCAUAUGACAUCACUUGCCAAUAUUGCACUUUUCUUAGCAUCACAUUGUUACCUUUCAAUAAAGUACAUCCAUCGAUAGCAAACUGGUCCAGCAAGUUUACAUUCAGUUGCUAAAUGGACAACUAAAUGAACCAUGACAGUGAAAAAUCCAGGAGGGAAUAUCAUCUCCAUUUUACAAAGUGUGAUUCUAAUUGAUUCUUCCAAAUGGUCAAGCUCAUUUACAUGGAGAACUUUUGAACAUAUUCCUCGGAAGUAAGCAGAUAAUUCAAGUAGUACUGUUGUGACACGGUCUGGAAGAAUACCCGUCAAAGCGAUAGGCAUGAAUUGUUGUAGUAGGACAUGGCAGUCAUGUGUUUUUAGCCCGGAAAUUUUUCCUUCAGCGGACUUCACACAUUUAGAUAUAUUUCCACAAUAGCCAUCGGGAACCAUUAUAGACUCAAGAACUUCAAGGAACAAUUUUAUCUCACUUCUGGACAUGGUAAAUAAUGCAGGUGGUAAGUAAAACUUGCCUGAAGGUUGUUGCUCUGGAUGUAGGUCCUCUCUAAUAUUCAUCUCUUUAAGAUCUAGACGAGCAGAAAGAUUAUCUUUUGACUUCCCAUCUAAACCUAAAAGUGUGCCCAAAAUAUUAUCACACACAUUCUUCUCUAUAUGCAUCACGUCAAGAUUAUGUCGAACGAGAUUAUAGUCCCAAUAGGGUAAUGUAAAUAGACUACUUAAUCCCUUGUAAGUUUUUGAUUGCUUAAAAUCACCAAGAGCCUUUAUUUCUUCUUCAACCUGACGUCCAUAGUAAGUUCGAGGCUCUGCUCUAUGCUCCACCGUUCCAUCAAAAGACUUUUGAUCAAAAUGAAACUUAUGAGCAGGAGGCAGAAAUCGGCGGUGACCCAUAAAGCAUGAUUUCUUUCCAUGUUUUAAUCGCUUGGACCAUGCAUCUGCACCGCAUGGUGGACAUGCAAAUUCUCCAUGCACCUUAUGUGAAGAAACCAUUCCUAAAGCUGGCAGAUCAUUUAUAGUCCACAACACGACUGCUCGCAAAGUAAAGGUUUCAUUUUUAGACACAUCAUAUGUGACAAUUCCAUUCAGAAAUAAGUCUUUCAAGUCAUCCAAAAGUGGCUGGAGAAAGACAUGAAUAUUAUCGCCUGGAUUUUUGGGCCCAGGAAUUAUCAAAGAUAGCAAAAGGUAAGAUUCUUUCAUGCACAACCAUGGAGGCAGAUUAUAUAUUGUCAAAACAACUGGCCAACAACUAUAACUAGAACUCAUCAUCCCAUAGGGAUUAAAUCCAUCAUGACCCAAGCCAAACCGUAUAUUACGGCAAUCAGAUGCAAUUUUUGAGUACCUUUCAUCUAAAGCCUUCCAUGCUAGGGAAUCAGCUGGAUGUCGUAGUGCGCCAUCCUUAAUGUGCUCUUCAUCAUGCCAUCGCAAAAGAGGUGCUGUCUCUUUGCACAUGAACAAUAUUUUCAACCUAUCCUUGAUUGGAAAGUAACGUAAAACUUUGCUUGGUGUUGCUUUUUUUCUUUCCUUCUUUGUUAACUUUGUUUCCGGUUCUUUAUCUUUCCACCUAGAGGCCUUACAGAUUGAGCAAAAAUCAUCAUUUUCCGUGUCUUUCCAGAACAGCUGGCAAUUAUUUGGACAAGCAUGAAUUUUUUUAUAAUCUAGGCCAAAUUUUGAAACAAUCUUCUUAGCCUCGUAAAAAUUCUGGGGCAGCUCAUUUCCGUUUGGAAUUGCCAUGCGCAGAGUAUCAAGUAGAUCUCCAAAUGACUUGUCAGACCAUUUGUUCAUGGAUUUUGUAUUAAACAAAAUCACAAGUAAUGAUAGCUGUGAUAAUCCACAUUCCGGCCAUAAAGGCUUCUUCGAAUCAUUGAUCAAUUUAUAAAAUUCCUCGGCUUCUAAAUUUGGUCCAUGUUGAUUCGGUGGAUGUAGACUCUCACUCAUUGGCACAUCAUCAUACACAUUCCUGAAGGCAUCAUUAAUCAACCCAUGCAUGUCAGCAAGCAUUUCUUCAUUGGGAGGCUGUGGUUGCUGAUCAUUAUUGUGCUCAUCUGAAGAUUCGCCAUGAAAAACCCAUUUGUCAUAACUCUGAAGAAUUCCGUUACAGAUCAAAUGAUCACGGACAUCAUUCUUUGAUAGAACAGAAGUGUGCACGCAUACUUCACAUGGACAAAGGAUCGUGGUAUCUUCUGUCUUAUCUUUAUAUGCAAAUUCCAAAAAUCCAUCUACGCCAGCCACGUACCACGUACCGGCUACUUCCUCUAGGAUAACGCAAAAGUACCUUGCUGAUUUGUACAUCCAUACCCACUCUGCAAUAAAGAGUUCAAUUGUCAUUUCAAGGUUGAAUCCUACUUAAUCCAAUUUUCCAGUUACUGAUCAAGACAAGUUAUGUCUAACAAGCAUAAGCAGACAAUAAAAAAUAUCGAACUUAGACUUUGUCUAGCAAACUGCAUCAUCAAUGACAUAAAUAUUUUCCAAAGAUUAAGUAGACAAGAUCAUACAAGAGAUGAAAAGGGAGAGAAGCUUACCUAUGCGGGGGCAUGUCUUUGGUGCUGGUGUAGGCGGCGAUUGUUAGACAGCUGGUCAGCGGUAUAGAUGUGGCAGAAAUUCUGAAAAGAGAAGAAAAAAAUAGCAUCAUGUUUCUCAGAGUCGUUACAGCAUGAUCGUACUACCCUAACAAUCAAAUUUUCUCUCAACCAACAAGGACAUGUAUAUCAUCGAUAUAUUUCCCAACGGGCUUGAUCAGUUUGCUAAUAGAAGAAUACAUUCUAUACUAAUAGUCCCUACAUGAUGAACAACAGUACACUACAAUAAUCUUUUUGAAACUACAAGCUAAUGAAACUGAACAUGCAGGCUCUAAAAAUAUGUAUAGUAGAGAGUCUCCUACAUGUAGCUGAUAAACUUGAAGGUUUCAUCCACUUUGAACAACAUUGCGAUGUUAAUAUGGAAUACCUACACUGAGGGCUGAUCUCAGAUAUAUUAUACACCCCUACCAUCUCAACUCAAUAUUUUUUUCAAGAACACUCAACUCAAUAUAUCAGCUAUAUAUAUUGUAUACAUACGCAUAACAUACUGAUGCAUCUGAUGAAGAAGCAUCAUCGACUAAUGCCAUAUACCAGUGAAACAAUACCAUAGGCAAGAAGAAUACACCUAUCUUUUUCUUCUUCUUUUGGUUCUGUCCCCUGUACAUUAAAUACGUUGUGUAGUCAUUGCUAUUCAGACAUUUAGACCAUUUCUAUAAUUGUAAGGGUAUAACCAUACACAUUUUCCUUGGCUUGCGGAACCAUAUAAUGGUUUCCCAUUUUAUCGAAAUAACAGUUAAGUAGCAAAGUUACUUGAAAUUUGAUGGUUUACAUCAUACAAGAAAACAUGUGUAUACUCUGUUAUAUACUGAAAUCUGACUGUAGCAGAACAGUAAGUUUUAUAUCACAGUUUCAGCUUCUUAUAACAUUGAUCAUCGUUAUAUAGUAAGAAAAAUACGAAAUUACAUAUAAGCUAUUUUUCUUGAAUAGCAGAUGCACAUGAUUAUGCUAGAUAGAUAUACUUAAUUGACUUCAGUUGCAUCGAGUUCAGUUCAGGUGUUAGUUUUCUAUUGGGUACAAGAAUCGAUCUAUACUGCUCUCCACGUUUACCAAACCAGACGAAAAAAUGACAGUUUCAGAAAAGAGAUGAAGAGGGUGAGGGAAGGUCACCUAUGCAGGGGCGCUUUGCUCGUACAGCUUCAGGUGAGGCGGCGAUUGGCAUACCACUGGUUGGCGGCGCUGCUAGGUGCAGGGAUCCAGGGAUGGGGUUUGGACGGUCGGGCGUGCAGUAUUGGGGCGGGGGGGGUGGGCGUUCGGGCUGAAGUGCAGCUUGGCUGUUUGGGGCCGGCGGCGGAAGGUGAGAUGGCUCGGUGGUGGCGCAGCAAGGUGACGCAGCCUGGGAGGGUGGCGGUGGAGGGGAGCUAGGCAUCCGGUCGUGCAAUAUGGGGGACGACGCGUCGGUAUUGAGGUAGAUCAUGGGUGCUUGGGGCGACGGCGGGAGGUGGGAUUGUUCGGCGGCGGCGUACUCUCACGGCAGGGAGAUUCAGAUUCAGGCAAUUCUAGGUAUUCGGUUUUUAUAUGGCUUAUUGGAAAAGAAAAGAAUAUAACUAAAUAAACAGAAAGCAUUAUUUUUUUGGGGCCCACGAGUCAGAAUUCUAGAUGGGAAGGCGAUCUGAUUAUGAGUUCCUCCCGUCCAUUAACACAUAGCUACGCAUAUCUAUAACACAUGGUAUUCGUUGUUGUCCGUACAGAAGCAACGGAUGUCCUUCCAACGUAUAUUUGCGUUGUUCCAAUGCAUUAUCAAAGCGUUGCAAACUAUGCAUUGCUAUAGGGGGGUUCUUGUUGUAGUGCCUCCCGAUGAGAGGAUCGUUGGUGAUGACGAUGGCGAUGAUUUCCCCCUCCCGGAGGGAAGUUUCCCCGGCAGAACAGCUCUGCCGGAGCCCUAGAUUGGUUCUGCCAAGGUUCCGCCUCGUGGCGGCGGAGUUUCUUCCCGAAAGCUUGCUUGUGAUUUUCCAGGGUAAAAGACUUCACAUAGCAGAAGAUGGACACCGGAGGCCUGCCGGGGGCCCACGAGGCAGGGGGCGUGCCCAGGGGGUUGGGCGCGCCUCCCACCCUCGUGGCCAGGGUGUGGGCCCCCUCUGGUACUUUCUUCCCUCAGUAUUUUUUAUUAAUUCCAAAAACUGCUUCUGUGAAGUUUCAGGACUUUUGGAGUUGUGCAGAAUAGGUCUCUAAUAUUUGCUCCUUUUCCAGCCCAGAAUUCCAGCUGCCAGCAUUCCCCCUCUUCACGUAAACCUUGUAAAAUAAGAGAGAAAAGGCAUAAGUAUUGUGAUAUAACUUGUAAUAAUAUCCCAUAAAGCAAUAAAUAUCGAUAUAAAAGCAUGAUGCAAAAUGGACGUAUCAACUCCCCCAAGCUUAGACCUCGCUUGUCCUCAAGCGGAAGCCGAUAACGAUAAAUAUGUCCACAUGUUUAGAGAUAGAGGUGUCGAUAAAAUAAAAUACGGACAUGACGGCAUCAUGAUCAUUCUUAUAACAACAACAUAUAUGAAUAUUGUCAUAUGAUUUCUUAUGCUCAAGAAAUAAUCUAUUCACAAUGUGAAGUAUGAAUCAGAAAGGACUUAGUCGUGGAGCCAUCGCAACUAGGAAGCUUAAAGGGGUUAAAGCGGGACAAAGGACACGAGGGUUAUACUGGUUCGGCCCCUUACGGUGAAGGUAAAAGCCUACUCCAGUUGAGGUGGAAUUACUAGGGUUUCGAUGACCAGGGAGCGAAUCCGCUAUGCCUGGCUACCGAUUUUAUGUUAUCUCCCUUAAGCCGCCGGCGGGUCAUCCCCUUAUAUACACGGGUUGAUGCCCCGCGGCCUACAGAGUCCCGGCCAGCUUAUAAACAGUAUCCGGCUCGGUAACUAGUUAAUCUUGCCUUACAACACAAGUCACACCAUUACGGCGGUUUAUGACUACGGGCCUUAAGUCACCUACGGGCUUUAGGCCCUUUAUUGAACCGCCAUCUUCAAGCUUUGAUAUUGGGCUUUAUAUGAUGAAUUGCCAUAACGUAACCCGGCCCCAGUUAUAUCCCCAACAUUAGGCUCCAGAUUGAUUUGAACUGGUUCAUAUCGAUCUUCAAUACCUUAAGAAAAAAAACUUCUGGCUUCUGUCUGUGCAAAAGUUAUGACCCGCCGUGACGUCAUCUUCUGGAUUCCUGAUAACCCGCCAUGACGUCAUCUUCCAUUAAAUUCAUUUUUUUAUUCCGUCAUACCCCGACGGAUCUUUAUCUUAAUAACCAUCCCGAAAAUCGAGGCGUCGGAGCCGCUGGGUAAUCAAGUUUUCGGCCUCCUCGUUUUUCGCGCCCACUUAUCAGUCCUCCCUUAUAAAUAAGCAUGACCAGGUCUUUUCUCAUUCUCCCCCUUCCUAUCGUCUUCCUCCUCUCUCGACCUUGCUGCCGCUCGAGCUCCGCUGCCGCCGCCAUAAUAGAGCACCUCAUCUUCGUCGAUCUUGGCCGCUGCAUCAACCUGAAUCGACCAGAGAACAACGGCGAUUCUCCGCAGUGAAUCUGCAGCCGUAAGUCUCCUCCUUCUCGAACGUCAGAUCUGCAUUAGGGUUUCCAAGUUCUUCCCUGUUCUUCGUGGUUCAUCACGGUUUCUUCGUAGUUCUUCCACUGCGGCCUUAUUUGAUCCAAAAGUAAUAUGGAAACUUAUGCGGUAGUUAUUUCGCGUCCAUUUUUAAUACUGGCAGAUCCCUUUCCUUCGUGCAGAGGCCUCACUAGAACUCAUGAACUCAUCUGUACCUGUUUUUAGGUCUAGAAUAUUUUCUUUUCUGAACGACCAUUUGAUCCAAAAUAACAGCUGCAACUUGUGAAACUUGUUUGUGCGACACUUAGGCAAAAACUGUAUCCGUUAUCCAUGACGGCUCUUACCGCCGGCUUAACGAGGCAAUGCUCAAUGAAUGAUCCUGAUCACUCAUAGUGGAUUGCAGACUAAGGCAUAGCCUAGUGGUGGGAAGGGGCUGAUGCCUUCCUACACACCCAGGUUCAAGACAUGGUACUUGCAAUUUGGAUUUGUUGCACCAAUUAUACUGUAGGGGGUUCCCUUACAGUCUUUCUGUCAAAAAAAAAAUCAUAGUGGAUUUAAAUAACUUAAUUGCUACCGUUUCCCAUGGCGGCUUAAACAAUCUGACACAAUUAGCCAUAUAUCAUUAGGCCCCUUCGUAAGCCGCCAUCUUGAAUAUGAAUUGAAGUAUUUUCUCCGGCUUAAAUUUGAACCGGAAAUUUUUAUUUUGUCAUAGGCGUCCAUCCUUCAUAAUGCCGCCCAAAGCUCCCAAAGCACCCAUCACAUGCAACUGGGUUAAAUCCACCGUCACUGAUAGCAUCUUAGCUGAUUUUGUGAAGACUGGUUAUCUGCCGAAGAAAGAGGUCAUGUCCUAUCGUGCUCCUGAUCCGUCAGAAGAAAAACCUCAACCCAAGGAUGGGGAAGUUGUCAUCUUUACUGGUCACAUGAACCGGGGCUUUGCUCCACCCAGCUCAAAAAAUUUCAGAGACGUCCUGCACUUUUUUGACCUGCGACCUCAAGACAUCGGACCCAAUUCCAUGUCAAAUAUCUGCAAUUUCCAAGUGUUCUGUGAGGUGUACCUUGGAGAAGAACCCAGCUUAUUACUCUUUAGAGAGUUAUUUUAUCUGAACCGCCAAAACGAAUGUGCCAAUGGGCCCAGCUUGGAGCUCGGCGGAAUCUCAAUCCAACGACGGAGAGAUUGUCUCUUCCCUUAUGCUGAGCCGCCAAGUCACCCUAAAGAUUGGAACCAGACAUGGUUCUACUGUCAAGACACUUCUCCGGCUGAUGAGAACCCUCUGCCCGGCUUUCGCGCCCUGCGACUAGAGUCAAAUCACCCCUUGCCAGAUAAAUUAUCUCCAGCUGAACGUCAACCACUUGCUCCCACCAUCAACAAGAUCAAAGCUCUUCUGGGGAACGGACUAAAUGGCAUUGAUCUGGUCCGGGUUUGGAUUGCCUGGCGGGUUAUCCCCUUAAGCCGCCGCCCCGGCUUGAUGUGCGAUUACACUGGCCUGAACAAUGAUCCUCUACGGCACAGUCCCAACGACUUACCCGAAGACGUUGUUGAUGACAUGACCAAGUCUCUUCUGAACGAAAGCCUGGCCGAUUGCGGUAAAGUGGGCUUAAGCCCUUUCUGCAAAGCUAACCCAGCUCCAGCGGUAAGCCAUUGACUUGAGCAUUUUACUUCCCACCUUGAUAAUGUUGUCUUUACUCAAAAACCUUUGUUGCAAUUUGCAGGCUGAUGACAAAUUUUGGAAGGUCAAGUAUGACCAUGAGGCUGCAAAGAGAGCCAGAAAAGCUAAGAAAGCCGCCAGGAAAGCCGCUCCCCGUAAGAAGGGAAGCAAGCCUAGCGCCUCGGAUAUGUUUCAUCUGGACGAUACCUCUGAGUCAGAGGUAGCUCUUGACUCUUUAGGUUCCUUUUUUAACCAUCUUAUUGACACUGAUUAUCAGCAGGAGGAUACAGGAAUGAGUCCUGCAGUGAUUGAAGAGGUAACUAUAAUUUCCUCCGACUCCGAGCCUUUGCCGAGACAGAAAGUCCAAAGAAUAACCCGGAAAGUAAGAUUUUCACAUCCUUUAACUUAUCAAAACCCUCAAUUUCUUUUGAAGCGAUAGAUUCACGAAAGUCGGAGGCAGACCCGGACCAGCAAAGAUGCAGACCUCUCCUCCGGCUUACCUGAUGCAACAAGAAAACGCCGGACUGCGGUUACCUCCGAUUUAUAUUCUUUGUAUCCUUUGGCGGGUUUCACUCGUCAAUCACUCAAUUUUUCUGACUCAAACUAUCAGGGGACUUCACCUUCUUCCGGCGACUCAAUGCAAUCUAACAUGCCGGCUUUCAAAACCGCCCAGGGUAAUGAUAAUCUGUUUAUCUUGUGUGUAUCUUACUCAUGUUUUUGUACUAACCCUUUGAUUCCCAGUGUGCAAGUGAAGCCCAGCAAGAAGGCAAGGAGAAGUAAGCCGGCCGAAGAACCGAUCUUGGCUGAAUCGGAGCUCAGAACGGCUGCUGCCGAUACUUCCGUUCCUGAGCCGCCGCCUGAACCAGCUCAUGAUGCUCCAACUUCCACCACUGAUCCAUCUGUCGAACAAACUAUGGAAGGCUCUGAAAACCCAAAGAUCCCCAGCUCGGCCAUGAUGGAUGACCCGGAGGUCGAAAUCACCCGGACGGACUUUGUUGAACCGGGGAGACCUACCGCGCUGGCCAAAUGUUCUGCCAAAGAAGAACUUCUGGAAUGCCGCAAAGUCAAACUGAACGUUACUAAUUAUGCUCAUCUGAGUAUUGGAGAUAUCGUCACUGGCUAUCUGAAUCAAGUGCACAACAUCCGUGAGUUGGAAAUUGACAUGGUGAAGCAGAUUCACCAAAAAUCUGAGGUAUAAUUCUCAUUGCUUAUUCCUUAGUUAUCUUAACUCUACCAGCCCCCAAGUCUACUGCUUAUGAUCAAAUAUAUUGUAGACUUAACACCAGCUUAGUAAUUACUGCAAGAAAACCGGCUUAUCCGGUAGCGCCCAAGGUCCGGCUUAGAUAGCAUAUUUGAUCCAGCCCUCACUGUGUUUUAACCAAGUAUUUGAACAGCAAUAUGCAUUAGCCCCCAAGUGCCAAGCACCUUUGCCUGCAAAGUGCUUGGGACUUACUUUCAUAAACCGCCACUGUAAAUAGAGCUCUUCAGCAUACAUUAGCCCCCAAGUGCUAAGUGUCUUUGCUUGCAAAGUGCUUGGGACUUAAUGUUGCAUUAUGAUCACCCUAACUGUGACCCGGAAUUUAUACAGGCCGCCAUUAAUCAAUUUCAGUCGGAGAUCUCUGAACUGAAGACUCGAUUGAAAACUCAAGAGAAUGAGACCCAAAAGGCAAAUUCCAAGUUUGAAUUCAGCGUAUCUGCUCAAGAGAAACUGAAAAAGAAGUUUGAAGCAGAAAGAAAGGCCUGGGCUGAUGAAAAGGCCGCUUUGCUCAACCGGGCUGAACAAGCGGAGGCUACUCUUGCAGAAACAACCGCCGAAUUAUCCGGCUUAAAACGCCAUGUAUCUCAGAUGGUCUCAGCAAUCUUUGGUAAGUUACUCUGCAAGUGUUAGCUAUUUUAAAUCUCUUUCAACAAGUAUCUCAAUUGUCAUUAGCGCACCUGACUUUGCAAUGCAGGCCCCAGGAGUUCCAAUCUCAACCAGAGCAUGCUGACAAAGCUGAAGGCCGUUUAUACCCUGGUGGAACAACUCUACACCGGGUCACAACGUGCCUUAGCCGUCGUGGCUCUGUCAAAUGAAGUUCCCACUCAUCUGGCGGACGUGCUAAGGCGGCUUGCCGUGCUACCUCAACGAUUCCAAGAACCGAGACGAGCUUCUGCAAGAGCCGGAGCCAUAGCCGCAUUAAGCCGCGCCAAGGCGUGGCUACCGGAGCUAGACCCGGCCGACAUCGCCCUUGGGUAUCCCAGCUUGAAGGAGGACGGCACUCCAUUUGAUCAAAAGGACUUCGCCGCUUGCGUGAAGGACAUACGCCCUAUGGACACUCUCAUUGGCAACGAUACAGAUCUCACCAAGUAUCAACCGGGUUAUGAUGCCGAGAAUCAGAGAAUUCCAACCCCGCGUUAUGAAGCAAUCAGCCUGAUCCCUCCAACUCGUAAGCAUACCUUCGCCCCUGAAGUUGACCCCGCCGGGUUAAUUGAUGAUGAAGCUGAAUUUGAAGCCUUGAGUGGCAUUGACUGGAAAUCAUCAACCUUCCAGGACAGGGAAAUAGCCGGAGGAGCGGAAAGGGAUGAACCGGAAGCUUCAGCCCAAGAACACCUUUGAUCCCUCAGGCGGCUCAUGGUUAUGUCUUGAUAAAAAACAAUGCCUCACUUUUUGGACUCGGGGAGUCAUGUAAUAGAGUAGGAAAAUACUUAAUUUUGUCGUGCCAUUGCGCAUUUGUGUGGCGCUCAACACUUCUUAAGCCGCCAUCUUAUAUUCACCCGUAUUAUACUGAUCCUCUGCUUUCCUUGCUUUAAUUGUCCUGCAUACAGAACAAAUCACAAGUACCUUGGCGGCUUACCGCCUGGAGGGUCAUAUAUUUUACAUAUAACCCGGAGUAUGUAACAAUCAUAAAAACCGGUUCUCAAUCAUAUCUUUGAGACAUAAUCAUAACAGCAUACCUGUGAUCCUUCGAUUAUGCUGCCGGUAUAUGCGAUCCGAACAAUGAGGUUGAGAACCCAACUCCGGUUUACUAGCACAUAUGAUAUUUAUUAUGUGCUAUCAACGUUAUUGAUCAAGGUUAAGCCGGUGGAAUAAAAACCACCCGUGAACACUUUAGAUAUGAUCAAAAAGAACUUCAAGUAAAAUCCAAAAAAUUGUUUGCAAGAAGAAAUUUCAAAAAACCUUAAGGCCGCUGGUUCGGAUACGACCAGAAAACCGUCCCAAAGGGGUUAAGCUAAGAUUCGAAUACGAUCAUAUAGCCCCCAGUGGCUUUGGCGUUGCCGAUCAAGAGGGUACCGACAGCUAUGUUCUCUUUGGUUCGAAUACGACCUAUGUUUGAACAGGAAGCCCCCAAAUGACCUUGAGAGUUGUUUAACGACGCUGAUUUGAAUACGAUCCACGUCGGUUCUCAAAGGGGGUUGAGCUAUGGUUCAAAUAUGACCAAGAAAACCCCCCAAUGAGCUCGGCAGUGUGCCGAUCAAAAGGGUAUCGACAGCUAUGUUCUCUUCGGUUCGAAUAUGACCUAUGUUUGAACAGGAAGCCCCCUAGUAAUCAUGUGAGAUCAUAACGGAAAUAACAAUGACACCUGUUACCUUUGAGGGGAAAAAGGACAGAGGUCCUGCUUUAUUAUUUAUCAUAAUAUAUACAUUGUCACGGAAGUAUGUACAUUAUGAGAGCCGGUGGCUCAAGUGUAAUAAGGCCGAAGCUGAGCUAUAUUCCAUGGCCGGCGGGUCUCCUCCUCCGACUUACGUGAAUCUUUGUGCUCUCGAACAUCGAUGAGGUAGUAUGACCCGUUGUGCAAGUUCUUGCUGACCACAAAGGGCCCUUCCCAAGGUGGGGAUAACUUGUGUGCAUCUGUUUGAUCCUGGAUGAGCCGGAGCACCAAGUCACCUUCCUGAAAGGUUCUGGACUUAACCCGACGGCUGUGAUAGCGGCGCAGGUCUUGUUGGUAAAUCGCCGAGCGAGCUACUGCUAUAUCACGCUGUUCAUCCAACAAGUCAAGAGCAUCCUGACGUGCUUGUUCAUUGUUCGUCUCAACAUAAGCCGCCACACGAGGCGAGUCAUGACGGAUGUCGCUAGGGAGAACCGCCUCGGCUCCGUAAACCAUGAAGAAAGGCGUAUAACCCGUAGACCUAUUAGGAGUAGUAUUGAUGCUCCAUAUCACAGAGGGUAACUCCUCCACCCAACAACCCGGCGUCCGCUGCAAAGGGACCAAAAGCCGAGGCUUGAUGCCUUUCAAGAUUUCCUGAUUGGCUCUCUUAGCUUGACCAUUGGAUUGGGGGUGAGCCACUGAUGAAACAUCAAGUCGAAUAUGCUCUUGUUGACAAAAUUCUUCCAUGGCGCCUUUAGACAGAUUGGUACCAUGUCAGUUAUAAUGCUGUGUGGAAAACCAAAGCGAAAUAUCACCUUUUUCAUGAACUGAACCGCCAUGGCCGCAUCACACUUACUAACUGGCUCUGCCUCAACCCACUUUGUGAACUUGUCAACCGCCACCAAGAGGUGGGUCUUCUUAUCCUUGGACCUUUUGAAAGGUCCAACCAUAUCAAGCCCCCAGACUGCAAACGGCCAAGUGAUUGGAAUCAUCCUCAACUCUUGAGCCGGCACGUGAGCACGUCUUGAGAACUUCUGACAACCGUCACAUUCACUUACUAAGUCCUCUGCAUUAGCAUGAGCCGUCAGCCAAUAAAAACCGUGACGAAAAGCUUUGGCUACAAGGGAUUUUGAGCCGGCAUGAUGGCCACAAUCCCCCUCGUGAAUCUCUCGUAAAAUUUCUUGCCCUUCCUCAGGGGAAACACAACGCUGAAAAGCCCCAGUGACACUGCGAUGAUGCAACUCGCCAUUGGCAAUUAUCAUUGACUUAGACCGCCGGGUUAUUUGUCUGGCCAAAAUUUCAUCCUCAGGCAAUUCUCCCCGGGUCAUGUAAGCCAAGUAUGGCACUGUCCAAUCUGGGAUAACAUGAAGAGCCGCCACCAACUGUGCUUCAGGGUCUGGAACAGCCAAGUCUUCCUCUGUAGGUAACUUGACAGAAGGGUUAUGCAAAAUAUCCAAGAAAGUAUUAGGCGGCACCGGCUUUCGCUGAGAGCCCAGCCGGCUUAAGGCAUCAGCCGCCUCGUUCUUUCUGCGGUCAAUGUGCUUUACUUGGUAACCCUGAAAAUGUCCGGCAAUGGCAUCAACUUCACGGUGAUAAGCCGCCAUGAGGGGGUCCUUGGAAUCCCACUUGCCUGAUACUUGUUGGGCCACCAAAUCUGAGUCGCCAAAGCACCUCACCCGGCUUAAGCUCAUCUUCUUAGCCAUCCGAAGACCAUGGAGCAAGGCCUCGUACUCAGCUGCAUUGUUAGUACAGGGAAACAUCAACCGUAGUGCAUAACAAAAUUUGUCACCUCGAGGGGAAGCUAACACGACUCCAGCCCCCGAGCCCUCCAAUUGCCUGGAUCCGUCGAAGUGAAUAGUCCAGUAUGUGUUAUCCGGUUUCUCCUCAGGCAUCUGCAGCUCUGUCCAAUCGUUGAUGAAAUCUACCAAUGCUUGUGAUUUGAUAGCUGUGUGUGGCACAUACUUUAGACCAUGAGGCCCAAGUUCAAUGGCCCACUUAGAGACUCUUCCUGUGGCUUCUCUGUUUUGGAUGAUAUCUCCUAAAGGAGCAGAACUAACCACAGUGAUAGGGUGGCCCUGGAAAUAUUGCUUAAGCUUCCGGCUUGCCAUGAAUACCCCAUAAACAAGCUUCUGCCAAUGUGGAUACCGUUGCUUGGACUCAAUAAGUACUUCGCUGACGUAGUAAACCGGCCGCUGAACCGGAUGUUCCUUACCCGCCUCCUUGCGCUCCACCACGAUGGCCACACUGACGGCUCGUGUGUUAGCAGCUACAUACAAUAAUAAGGGCUCCUUAUCAACAGGAGCAGCAAGAACUGGCGGUUCAGCUAACUGUCUUUUCAAAUCCUCAAAAGCGGUGUUGGCAGCAUCACUCCAGACAAAGUCAUCUGUUUUCUUCAUCAUCUGAUACAGCGGUAUGGCCUUUUCUCCCAACCGGCUUAUAAAUCGACUUAAAGCAGCGCUCCGACCUGCCAGACGCUAGACGUCAUUUAUACACGCUGGCUUAGCCAGAGAGGUGAUUGCCUUGAUCUUCUCCGGAUUAGCUUCAAUGCCUCUAUGAGAAACCAGAAAACCCAAGAGCUUGCUUGCAGGAACACCGAAGACGCACUUGGCCGGGUUAAGCAUCAUAUUGUAGACCCGGAGAUUACCAAAGGUCUCCCUCAGAUCGUCUAUCAAGGUCUCCUUCUCUCUGGAUUUUACCACAAUAUCAUCCACAUAGGCAUGAACGUUGCGCCCAAUCUGAUUAUGAAGACAAUUCUGUAUGCACCGCUGGUAAGUCGCCUGGGCGCUCUUGAGCCCAAACGGCAUAGACACAUAACAAAAGGCUCCAAAAGGGGUAAUGAACGUCGUCUUCUCUUGGUCCUUAACUGCCAUUUUGAUCUGAUGGUAUCCAGAGUAAGCAUCCAAAAAACUUAAACGCUCACAACCCGCCGUAGCAUCAAUAAUUUGAUCAAUACGGGGGAGAGAAAAAGGAUUAGCCGGACAAGCCUUGUUUAGAUCCGUAUAAUCCACACACAUACGCCAGGUGCCGUUCUUCUUGAGCACGAGCACCGGGUUAGCUAGCCAUUCUGGAUGAAAGACUUCAACGAUGAACCCGGCCGCCAAGAGCCGGGCCACUUCCUCACCAAUGGCUUUCCGCCUCUCCUCAUUAAACCGCCGGAGAAAUUGCUUGAUUGGCUUAAAUUUUGGAUCAAUGUUAAGAGUGUGCUCAGCGAGUUCUCUCGGUACACCCGGCAUGUCAGAAGGUUUCCAUGCAAAGAUGUCCCGGUUCUCACGGAUGAACUCGAUGAGCGCGCUUUCCUAUUUAGGAUCCAGAUUGGCACUUAUGCUGAACUGCUUAGAUGAGUCGCCUGGCACAAAGUCAAUAAGCUUAGUCUCAUCGGCUGACUUAAAUUUCAUUACUGGCUCAUGCUUCGUGGUCGGCUUUUUCGAAGACGUCAUAUCCGCCGGGUCAACAUUAUCCUUGUAAAACUUUAAUUCCUCUGUCGCACAAACAGAUUCAGCGUAAGCAGCGUCAGCUUCCUCGCACUCCAAGGCUAUCUUUCGGCUGCCAUGAACCGUAAUGGUCCCAUUGUGACCCGGCAUCUUCAGCUGCAAAUAUACGUAACACGGCCGUGCCAUGGACUUGGCGUAAGCCGGCCGCCCAAAUAAAGCAUGGUACGGGCUUCUUAUUUUGACCACCUCAAAAGUCAGUUUUUCCGCCUUGUAGUUGUACUCAUCUCCAAAGGCUACUUCCAGCUCGAUCUUACCAACUGGAUACGCCGACUUACCGGGCACCACACCAUGGAAAACAGUAUUGGACUGGUUGAGGUUUUUAUCAGUUAAUCCCAUACGACGGAAGGUCUCAUAAUAGAGGAUGUUGAUGCUACUGCCUCCGUCCAUGAGUACCUUAGUGAAUUUAUACCCACCAACUUGAGGAGCCACCACCAAGGCCAGGUGACCUGGAUUAUCAACCCGGGGAGGGUGAUUUUCCCUACUCCAUACAAUCGGCUGUUCAGACCAUCGCAAGUAACGUGGAACUGCCGGCUCAACAGCGUUCACAACCCUCUUAUGAAGCUUCUGGUCUCGCUUGCACAAAUUGGUAGUAAACACAUGAUGCUGUCCACUGUUGAGCUGCUUUGGAUGGGUCUUGUAUCCCCCCUGCUGCUGCUGCUGAUUACCCUGGCCAGAUUGCUGGUUAAAACCACCUUGAUUACCUUGAGAAUUCUGAAAAUUGGAAUUUGAACCGCCGCCCGGGCCAUGAAAGCCGCCGCCACCUGAGCCGCUGCCCUGCCCAUUGUUACCGUUGAACAUGUUGGAAUUCUUGAAAGCUUUCAUGAUCGCGCAGUCUUUCCAUAGAUGAGUGGCCGGCUUCUCCCUAGAGCCAUGCCUUGGGCAGGGCUCAUUUAACAACUGCUCAAGCGUCGGGCCUGACCCGCCAGACCGGGGAGGCUGUCUCCCCUUACGUCGGAGAUUGUUACCCUGCGUGUUGGUGUUGGCCAGAAACUCCAUACCAUCAUCAGCCUUACGCUUAUUACCUCCCUGAUUCACCGGGUUAUGCUGAGGGUCCUUGCCGUUGCCAUUCUUCUUUCCCUUCCUUGUCUUUUCCUCAUCAGACACGGGAUCCUUGGUACUAUCAGAGUCGGCGUACUUGACCAGAGCCGCCAUCAGCGUACCCAUAUCGUUGCAAUCGCGCUUGAGCCGCCCAAGCUUCAUCUUCAGGGGCGCAAAACGACAAUUUUGCUCCAACAUUAAAACCGCAGAGCCGGCAUCCAUCUUAUCAGACGAAUGUAUUAUUUCCUUGACCCGGCGUACCCAACGGGUCGUAGACUCGCCUUCUUGCUGCUUGCAGUUAGUCAAAUCCACAAUUGACAUAGAUUGCCUACAUGUAUCUUUGAAGUUUUGGAUGAACCGGCCUUUCAGCUCUGCCCAUGACCCGAUGGAAUUAGGUGGCAGUCCCUUUAACCAAGUGCGGGCAGUCCCAUCCAACAUCAUGGUGAAGUAUUUGGCCAUUGCCGCUUCGCUGACCUCCAGCAACUCCAUAGCCAUCUCGUAGCUUUCAAUCCAUGCUCCGGGCUGUAAAUCAGCUGUGUAAUUAGGUACCUUCCUAGGUCCUUUGAAAUCUUUGGGCAGACGUUCGUUACGGAGAGCCGGCACCAGACAAGGGACACCUCCGGUCCUCGUAGCUAUGCCUACCUCGAUAGAAGCCGUCGGAUAAACCGGGAGGGGUUGGUAAGCUGUCAGCUGAGCCGCCUGCUCCACCUCUUGACGUGCUCUGUCUUGGUCUACCGCGUUAAAGGCUCUGUUAUGCGCCGGGCCGUGGCCAGCUGGUAAGUCACGGCGCCGGACGUUGCUUGAGCCGGUCGCUGAAACCAUGUGUCUGCUAUAACUUGGGCUCCGGUUUGGACGAUGGGUUGAAUGAAUCUUGUCCCGGCUAUAUGAAUAUGCCUCCUGUUGUGCCAGAGCCGUCUGAAGAAGUUCUCUGACCCUGCGGGUUUCGACCGCCGUUGGAGAGUCACCCUCGACUGGGAGAGCCGCCAGUCGCGCCGCUGCAGCGAUCAUGUUUUCCAACGGAUUAGAAUAAUGACCCAGUGGUAUCGGCACGUAUUGAGGUGGGGCAGUAUUCACACGGGGAGGCCCCAUCACUUGCAGCUGAACCGGCGUUCCAGCCCCGGGUGCCGUGAUUUCUGGCGGGUUACUGGGCCCUGCACCGGGCGUGUUGAGAGGUUUCGAGGAUCAUAAACCGGAGGGAGCCGAGAUUGAGCCUUCUGAUGCCUCCUUCUCAUGACCUCAUUGGAUGCGUUCUGAUCCAUCGUGAGCCGGAAGGACUGCGCCUGAAUCAGUUGAGUCUGGGCGUCCAGAGCCGCCCGUUCUGCAGCCAUCCUGACUCCCUCCGCUGCCAGAUCUUCCUUGGCUCGUGCUAUAUCCAGCUUUAACUGUGCCACCUCCGCAUCAUGUUGAGCUUGAUCCGCUGGGACGACCGUGGCGGUUAGCAGGGCAGUCAUCUUAUCCGUGAGAUCCAUCAGCACCUGAGCCGACGAGUGCACAGGGCCUCCUGCCCCAGCGGCGGAGUUUUGAACAGGUUGUUGGGAAUCGUAGCAUAAUUUAAAAUUUUCCUACGCUCACCAAGAUGCAUCUAUGGAGUCUACUAGCAACGAGGGGAAAGGAGUGGAUCUACAUACCCUUGUAGAUCGCGAGCGGAAGCGUUCCAAUGAACGUGGAUGAUGGAGUCGUGCUCGCCGUGAUCCAAAUCACCGAUGACCGAGUGCCGAACGUACGGCACCUCCGCGUUCAACACACGUACGGUGCAGCGACGUCUCCUCCUUCUUGAUCCAGCAAGGGGGGAGGAGAGGUUGAUGGAGAUCCAACAGCACGACGGCGUGGUGGUGGAUGUAGCGGGUCUCCGGCAGGGCUUCGCCGAGCUUCUGCGAGAGAGAGAGAGGUGUUGCAGGGGAGGAGGGAGGCGCCCAAGGCUUAGAUGUUGCUGCCCUCCCUAACCCCCACUAUAUAUAGGGCCAAGGGAGAGGGGGGGCGCAGCCUUGCCCCUUCCUCCAAGGAAGGGUGCGGCCAGGGGGGAGUCCUUCCCCCCCAAGGCACCUCGGAGGUGCCUUCCCCCUUUAGGACUCUCCCUUCUUUCUUAUCUCUUGCGCAUGGGCCUCUUGGGGCUGGUGCCCUUGGCCCAUAUAGGCCAAGGCGCACCCCUUACAGCCCAUGUGGCCCCCUGGGGCUGGUGGACCCCCUUGGUGGACCCCCGGACCCCUUUCGGCACUCCCGGUACAAUACCGAUAAAGCGCGAAACUUUUCCGGCGACCAAAAUAAGACUUCCCAUAUAUAAAUCUUUACCUCCGGACCAUUCCGGAACCUCUCGUGAUGUCCGGGAUCUCAUCCGGGACUCCGAACAACUUUCAGGUUUCCGCAUACAUAUAUCUCUACAACCCUAGCGUCACCGGACCUUAAGUGUGUAGACCCUACGGGUUCGGGAGACAUGCAGACAUGACCGAGACGCCUCUCCGGUCAAUAACCAACAGCGGGAUCUGGAUACCCAUGUUGGCUCCCACAUGUUCCACGAUGAUAACAUCGGAUGAACCACGGUGUCGAGGAUUCAAUCAAUCCGUAUGCAAUUCCCUUUGUCAAUCGGUAUGUUACUUGCCCGAGAUUCGAUCGUCGGUAUCCCAAUACCUUGUUCAAUCUCGUUACCGGCAAGUCUCUUUACUCGUACCGCAAUGCAUGAUCCCGUGACUAACGCCUUAGUCACAUUGAGCUCAUUAUGAUGAUGCAUUACCGAGUGGGCCCAGAGAUACCUCUCCGUCACACGGAGUGACAAAUCCCAGUCUCGAUCCGUGCCAACCCAACAGACACUUUCGGAGAUACCCGUAAUGCACCUUUAUAGUCACCCAGUUACGUUGUGACGUUUGGCACACCCAAAGCACUCCUACGAUAUCCGGGAGUUGCACGAUCUCAUGGUCUAAGGAAAAGAUACUUGACAUUGGAAAAGCUCUAGCAAACGAAACUACACGAUCUUUUAUGCUAUGCUUAGGAUUGGGUCUUGUCCAUCACAUCAUUCUCCUAAUGAUGUGAUCCCGUUAUCAAUGACAUCCAAUGUCCAUAGUCAGGAAACCAUGACUAUCUGUUGACCAACGAGCUAGUCAACUAGAGGCUUACUAGGGACAGGUUGUGGCCUAUGUAUUCACACAUGUAUUAUGAUUUCCGGACAAUACAAUUAUAGCAUGAAUAAUAGACAAUUACCACGAACAAAGAAAUAUAAUAAUAACCAUUUAUUAUUGCCUCUAGGGCAUAUUUCCAACACAGGUUGCAUGCCGGCCAUGAAGAUUCCAACCCGGCUUGGCGGCUCAAAAGGGUCCGUAAUACUGUCGCCACCGGAACAACCCCCGAGCCUGCCGUCUCGAAACUGAUACAACGAGUCCGUCUCACCUGUGGAUGAUUCAUCAUCAGGCAGAUGGCCGUCUCAUCGCUAGAUCUAGAUCCUUCAGAGAGUCCUCCGUGGAUGCAUCCCACGAAAGCACGCUUCAAGGCGGGCAGAGUCCGGGCGGGUCUCGCACGCUGAGCCGUCUCGAUGAGGUCGGUGCAGAUGUCCGGCUCAGGGCCCGGCUCGCCGAUCUUGCCAAUGAAAACAUGGAUUCCACCGAAGGGGACCCGGUACCCGUACUCAAUUGAGCCAGCGUCGGGGCCCCAGCCUGCGUCGUUGAUGUAGAGCUUGCCACGACGACUCUUGGCCAUCCGGCCCACAGCGUAUCCCUUGAGCCCUUCGAAGUUGCGCUUCAAGAACUCAAAUCCACCAUGCGCUGGCCCCACGGUGGGCGCCAACUGUCGUGGAAUAGUCACGGCAGAUGCCCUUGUGAAAGGACUUAGUCGUGGAGCCAUCGCAACUAGGAAGCUUAAAGGGGUUAAAGCGGGACAAAGGACACGAGGGUUAUACUGGUUCGGCCCCUUACGGUGAAGGUAAAAGCCUACUCCAGUUGAGGUGGAAUUACUAGGGUUUCGAUGACCAGGGAGCGAAUCCGCUAUGCCUGGCUACCGAUUUUAUGUUAUCUCCCUUAAGCUACCGGCGGGUCAUCCCCUUAUAUACACGGGUUGACGCCCCGCGGCCUACAGAGUCCCGGCCAGCUUAUAAACAGUAUCCGGCUCGGUAACUAGUUAAUCUUGCCUUACAACACAAGUCACACCAUUACGGCGGUUUAUCACUACGGGCCUUAAGUCACCUACGGGCUUUAGGCCCUUUAUUGAACCGCCAUCUUCAAGCUUUGAUAUUGGGCUUUAUAUGAUGAAUUGCCAUAACGUAACCCGGCCCCUCCUGGGCGGGUUACGCCAGUAGUUAUAUCCCCAACACUACUGGUUCUAUUUCCUCAACUCUUUCAUUUCCUCAUUACUGUGUUGUGUGCUUGUCAUAUCUGUGUUUGAAGACUUUGACUAAAGACUUUCUCAAUUUCCUCAGUUCAAUUUCUUCAGUCUGUUUGUCUUCAUCCUGUGCUAUCCUGUGUUUACGCUUCUGUACUCUGUGCUUGUCUUCAUUUCAUCAUGAUGACCAUGCUUGUGUUCUGCUAUGCAUACUUUUGAGUACUGAUUCCGCUGCAAGUAGUUCUUCACUAAGGAAUUUCCUCACUGGCAAAUUCCUCAGUGAAGAAUUCAUAAAAAUCGCCUAUUCACCCCCCUCUAGUCGAUAUAACGCACUUUCAAUUGGUAUCAGAGCAAGGUACUCCCUUGUUUUGUGUGAUUUUGGUUUAACCGCCUGGAGUUUUAGUUAUGUCGACCGCAGGUAUGAUCAAGGUCUCUGCUGGGUGUCCUACCUUCGAUGGGAUGGACUACCCCUACUGGAAGAAUAAGAUGAGAAUGCAUCUUGAGGCAAUUGAUAAUGAUCUCUGGUAUGUUGUGGAAAAUGGUGUUCCCUCUGUCUCACCCUCACUGAACGCUACCGAUGUGAAGAGAUUCAAGCAACUCGAUUCUCAAGCGAAGAAUAUCAUAUGUGGCCAUCUGAGCAAAGGAUAGUAUGGAAGAGUGAGUGCUUUGGAAACUGCUAAGCUUAUCUGGGAUAGGCUGUCCAAAGUAAAUGAAGGAGUCUCAACUCAGCGUGGCUCUUGAGUUGAUGUUCUUCGCAAUCUCUUCAACCGCUUCAAAAGACUCGACAAUGAAAAUGUUCAACAAACCUUCGAUCGCCUCACUGACAUCUCAAAUGAGCUUCAAGCGCUUGGUGCCAUUGACAUCACCGACCAUGAGGUGGUGAAGAAAUUGUUGAGAUCGCUUGAUUCCUCAUUUGAUACUAUGGCAUUGAUGAUACAAGAACGUGCUGAUUACAAGUCACUUGAUCCUGCUGAUAUCCUCGAGAGGCUAAAUACUCAUGACUUCCAGCUUGCUGAAAAGAGAGACCUUUAUGGUUUGAGCUAUGGCAGAUCACGUGCACUGAAGGCCAAGGCAGUUUCUGAGUCUGAAAUGAAGACUCUGACAGCAGCCUUGGUGAUCCUGAAGAACUGAGCCAUGAUCUAGCACUGCUCGUGAAGAAAUUCCAGAAGUUCUCAAGACGUGGCUGCUUUGGAAGACCCUCAAGGAGCAAUGAUUCCUCACCCAGUGACUACAAGAAGAGGCUUUGUCACAAAUGCAAGAAACCGGGACACUACAUUCAAGAUUGUCCUCAGUGGGAAAAGGAAUCAAAGAAGAAGAAAUACAAGGACUAUAGUUCUGAUGAUGCGAAGAAAAAGAAGAAAUACAAGGACUAUAGUUCUGAUGAUGCGAAGAAAAAGAAGACAUCCUCAAAAUCUUCAUCAUCAAAAUCCUCAAAGUCUUCAUCUCACAAGAAGAGCAGCUCCAAGAAGGCUCGGGCAUUCAUUGGCAAAGAAAUGGACUCUGAGGCUGAAUCUGAAGAAAAUGAGGAAGAGGAGGCAUCUGAGGAUUCCGAAUCUGGUGUGGCGAGCCUAGCCCUCGCUACUGCAUUCGUCAGCAAGUCUAUCUUCAACACUGAAGAAAAUGACCUCACCAACAAGGCUGAUGAAGGCAAUGAUGACUACGCUCCCACCUAUUGCUUCAUGGCAAAGGGUGCCAAGGUACUCAAAUAUACCUCCUCUGAAUCAAGUGAAAAUGAAUCUAAUGAAAACCUUAAGCCCAGCUAUUUUAAACUUGCUAAGAUUGCUGUGAAACAACAAAGGGCCCUUGAAAAGGUUCAAAACAUACUAGACAAAAGUGAUGAUAUGUUGGGUGAAGAAAUGGAUCGCACUAAAACCCUGACUGAAAAUCUUCAGAGACUUCAGACUAGGUUUGACAACCUUCAAGGUCAUCAUAACACUCUCUUAUCUGAUCAUGAGAAGCUUUCUUAUGAAUUUCUUCAAAGAAAGCAAGAUCUUGAGAAGCUAAGAGUGAGUUAUGAAGAUCUUCAGAAGGAGCGCGAUUCAUUACUUGCUCAACAAAUCAGCGCUGCUCAGGAAGAAUUUGUUCCUCCAUGUUUGAAAUGCAUUGAACAUGAAUCUGCUAAUUCUUCACCUGAAUGUUCAAAUGCUUCUAAUGCUACAAAUUCUUCAACUGUCUCUGCUAUCACUAAUUCCUCAUCUGAGGACAUUGCUAGUAUCACUGAUGAUGCAGGGCUGAAGGAAUUGUACAUGACAGGCAUGUACAAAAGCCUCAAAGGGCAUCAGACUCUUUGUGAUGUGCUUAAAAAGCAGAUCCUCAACAGGAACCCUAGGAAAGAGGGUAUUGCCUUUGAGAGGAAACUCAAUGCUGAUGGUACAUAUUGGAAGCCUGAGCAGUACCCCAAAACCUCAUGGGUUGCUGCAAAGGGACCUCUAGUUGAUCCAUCUAAUUUAUCUGGCUUUACAUGUGAAUCUUCUCAUUCUUCUGAUGAGUCAUUUGACUCCAACUAUCAACUGUUCAAAAAUCAGAAUGGUGAAGUAUUUGCUAGAUAUGUUGGCACUAACUGCAGGAAUGGUUCUCCUAUGAAGAAAAUCUGGGUUCCCAAAAGGUGCCUUGAAAGUCUUCAGGUGAAUGUCCUCAUGACACCACCUGUGAAGAAUAGGAACCCCAAAUCAAAUUCUUCAUAUGGACCAAACUCUUCAUAUGGAUCCAAGUCCUCAUACGGACCAAAUUCCUCACAUGGAUCAAAUUCCUCAAUAGGAUCAAAGUCCUCAUAUGAACAUCAUUGUGCUAACAACUCUGUUUCGCAGGGAAGAGCCAAGGGCUAUGAAUAUGAGCAUUAUUCUUCUAAUCAUUAUGUUCAUAAGUCCUCGAAGAAUUUCUCUGCUUAUUCAUAUGCUUACCCUAACUCCUCUUAUGUGAAACAAAAUGGAUUGGCUUCUAUGCCACCUUUCUCUUAUGGAGCUCGCGGAGUGAUGAACUCUUUGCCACCCCUUCAGAUUUGGGUGGUGAAGAAAAAGAACUAAUCUUUUAUGCAGGGUCAGGUCUCCAGACAUACUUUAACGUCUGAAGAAUUUGCUGGAGACCUGAAAAGUGCCUGAAAGGACGCAGGCUAAUCAUGAAGAAAUGAACUUUCAUUUCUCACAUCCUCAUACUGCUUUAACUAUUGCAUUGCUUGAUGAAAUUGGUCUGAUGAAUUGUGAUGUCAUAUUCUUCAUUGAUGAAGUAUAUGAAGUUCGUAAGCUGCACUAAUUCAUCUGCAGGAUGAUCAACCCAAAGCCACUGAGUGGGUCCUCGAUAGUGGAUGUACAAAUCAUAUGACUGGUGACAAGAAUCUAUUGAUGGAUGCUCCCUUAUCACCAUCGCAUCUGAAGCAUAUCAUCUUCGCUGACAAAGGCAAAAGUCAGGUAUUGGGUCUAGGUAAGGUUGCGAUCACAAAGGAUCGACACAUGGGCAAAGUCAUGCUUGUCGAGGCCUUAGGAUACAACCUCAUGUCUUUCUCAAUGCUUUGUGAUCUUGAUAUGGUUGUUGUCUUUGGCAAGUAUCGUUGUGUUGUGGUUAUGGAAGCUGAUAAUUCCAAAGUCUUCGAAGGCUUUAGGAGAGGAGACUUGUAUAUUGUUGAUUUCUCUACAGGACCGCAACCAGCCGUGUGCCUACUUGCAAAAGCUUCAGAAGGCUGGCUAUGGCAUCGACGACUUGGUCAUGCAGGCAUGAGGAAUUUGCACACGCUUGCGAAGAAGAAGCAUGUCAUUGGCAUUGAGAAUGUCAAAUUCCUCAAGGAUCACUUGUGUGGAGCUUGUGAAGCUGGAAAGAUGACCAAGGCUAAGCAUCCAGCGAAGACUAUCAUGACCACUACUCGACCAUUUGAAUUGCUUCAUAUGGAUCUCUUCGGUCCUAACCAUUACUCAUCAGUCACAAAUGAUGCAUCUCUCUAUGGCUUUGUUAUUGUUGAUGAUUACUCUCGUUACACAUGGGUACAUAUUGUCACUUACAAACAUGAAGUGCAGGAAGUCUUCAAAUGAUUUUCCUCGAGGGCUUCAACCAACUUUGGUGUGAAGAUCAAGCACAUCAGAAGUGACAAUGGAACUGAGUUCAAGAAUUCUGGUCUUGAUGACUAUCUUGAUGAACUUGGUAUUACUCAUGAGUUAUCUGCUCCUUACACUCCUCAGCAAAAUGGCGUCGUGGAGCGCAAGAAUAGAACUCUUGUUGAGAUGGCUCGCACUAUGCUUGAUGAGUACAAGACGCCUCGUCACUUCUGGAUUGAGGCAAUUUAUACUGCGUGCCACAUCAUCAACAGGGUAUAUCUUCAAAAAUUCUUCAAGAAGACUGCCUAUGAACUCCUCACUGACAAGAAACCCAAUGUGAGUUAUUUCAAAGUCUUCGGUGCUAAAUGUUGGAUUAGAGAUCCUCAUCACAAUGCUAAAUUUGCACCGAAAGCACAUGAAGGUUUUAUGCUUGGUUACGGAAAGGACUCGCACACCUACAGAGUCUUCAACAACGUUCUUCACAAGGUUGUUGAAACUGUAGAUGUGCGGUUUGAUGAAACUAAUGGCUCGCAAAGGGAGCACCUACCUUCUGUGAUAGAUGAACCAGCACCUGAGGAAUCUAUCAAGUUCAAGGCUACUGAGGAUGUCAUUCCUACCGAAGAAUCUGCUGAAGAAUUCAUUCCAGAACGUGAAGAACGUCGAGCUAAUGCACCUGAAGAAAAUGCUGAUCAAAUUCCUCAACGACAACCAACUCAUCCUCGUGUCGCAAAAGAAGUGCAAGUUGAAAAGAUCAUCGAUGACAUUAAAGCACCAGGUCCUCUCACACGCUCAAAAGCUUCACAUUUAUCUAACUUUUGUGGGCACUAUGCUUUUGUCUCUAUCACAGAGCCCACUAAGGUAGAUGAAGCAUUUCUGGAGCCUGAGUGGAUUCAUGCCAUGCAAGAAGAAUUACAUCAGUUCCAGCUCAACAACGUUUGGGAACUGGUCAAUCGUCCAGAUCCUCGCAAACACAAUAUCAUUGGCACAAAGUGGAUCUACCGCAACAAGCAAGAUGAAAAUGGCCUUGUGGUGAGGAAUAAGGCACGGCUAGUAGCUCAAGGCUACACACAGGUUGAAGGAAUUGAUUUCGAUGAAACUUUUGCACCUGUUGCUAGACUUGAAGCUAUUCGCAUAUUACUCGCUUAUGUUAACCAUCAUGAUAUCACUUUAUAUCAAAUGGAUGUGAAAAGUGCAUUCCUCAAUGGUAAGCUUGAGGAAGAAGUAUAUGUUGCUCAACCCCCAGGUUUUGAAGAUCCUAAGCAUCCUGACAAAGUCUUCAGACUAAAUAAGGCCCUCUAUGGCCUCAAGCAGGCCCCUCGGGCGUGGUAUGAUACUUUGAAGGAAUUCCUCAUGAGGAAAGGCUUCAAACCCGGUUCACUCGACCCUACACUUUUCACUAAAUCAUAUGAUGAUGAAUUGUUCGUGUGCCAAAUAUAUGUUGAUGAUAUCAUAUUUGGCUGUACUAACCAACGUUAUAGUGAUGAAUUUGCCUAUAUGAUGAGUGAAGAAUAUCAAAUGUCUAUGAUGGGAGAGUUGAAAUUCUUCUUAGGUCUUCAAAUUCGUCAACAGCGCAAUGGCAUAUUCAUAUCUCAGGAGAAAUACCUCAAGGAUGUACUGAGGAAAUUCGGCAUGCAAGAUUGCAAAGGCGUCAAAAUUCCGAUGCCCACAAAUGGCCAUCUGUGCACUGAUGAAAAUGGUAUUGACUUCGAUCAAAAGGUAUACCGCUCCAUGAUUGGUUCUUUAUUGUAUUUAUGUGCAUCUAGGCCAGAUAUUAUGCUUAGUGUUUGCAUCUGUGCCCGAUUUCAAGCUACACCGAAGGAAUCACACCAUAAGGCUAUGAAACAUAUUCUUCGAUAUCUAGCUCACACACCAACACUUGGAAUAUGGUACCCCAAGGGCUCGGCUUUUGAUCUCAUUUGAUAUUCUGACUCUGACUAUGCUGGUGAUCGUGUGGACCGCAAGUCAACAUCUGCUACAUGUCAUUUCCUCGGACGAUCUUUGGUCUGUUGGUCCUUGAAGAAACAGAACUACGUAUCACUGUCUACUGCUGAAGCUGAGUACAUUGCUGCUGGCUCUUGCUGUGCUCAAUUGUUGUGGAUGAAGCAAACUCUCAAGGACUACGGCGUCAAAGUGAAGAAUGUGCCUCUCUUCUGUGACAAUGAGAGUGCCAUUAAGAUUUCUCACAACCCAGUUCAGCACUCGAAGACAAAGCACAUUCAGAUUCGUCAUCAUUUUCUUCGCGAUCAUGUGUUGAAGGGCGACAUUUCUAUUGAGCAUGUGAAGACUGAAGAACAGCUAGCCGAUAUCUUCACUAAGCCCUUGGAUGAGAAGAGAUUUAGCAAGUUGCGGUGUGAGCUAAAUAUCCUAGAAUCUUUGAAUGUUCUUUGAAAAGGACACUCAUCCUAACACUUAUGCAAAAUUGAUGACUUAGAUGUGCAACACAUGAAGAAACGUUUUUCCUCAAUCAAUGAAGAAUAACACUCUAAGUGUGAAGAAAUUAACGAAGAAUUUGAUUCUCAGAACCCUACGACAAUUGUACGCGGUGUCUGAAAUCAUCAUUCUUAUACGGUGGGUCACGCCACCACCAAAAGUUGAAAAUCUUCAAUUUGAGUUUUUCCUCAAUUUUGAAAUUCCUCAGUUGUUCAAAAUCUUCAACUUUGCAAAAUCUUCACUGUUUCCGUCGUUUUUCUUCAUUGGCUAUAUAUAUAUAUAUAUAUAUAUAUAUAUAUAUAUAUAUAUAUAUAUAUAUAUAUAUAUAUAUAUAUAUGAGUUUAUGUCCUCUACAACAUUCACUUAUUGCUAUUUCUUCAAGUUGCUAUUUCUGCUAAGUGAAUGUGAUUGGACCCUUCCCCCUCUAUGCUAUACUCAACCCAAUCUAUUCACAAAUUCUUCAUGUGUGUUCUAUUUGAAACUCAUUUAAAAACUUCACUGUGUCCUUGUCAGCUGAAGAAUUUGCGAACGGAACUUUUAACUUAUCUUAUCCAAAUUUUUGGCUUUGCCACUCAAACCGUUCCGCAUCCCAUGAAAUACUUAUCUAUUCACCCACGAUCUAACACGAUCUCCACUUCUCAGUACGUGGGUGACACGUGUCAAGUGAAUGAGAAGGGUCAGAGGCACGUUCGUCCAAUAUCUUUGGGCGAACCGUUUUUCACCGUGACUAUAAAUACCCCCUCUCCCCUUCCUCACUUCCUUUACUUCGCUCGACCUCUCUCCAGCUCAAGCUUCUCAAACCCUAGCGCCGCCGCUACUUCAUUGUCGCCGGUGAGGAAGAGCUUCACUGCCUCGACCUCGUCGCCGUCGUACUCGUGCCGGCCGCGGAAAUCUUCACUCCGCCGCCGCCGUAGCCGUCUUCCUCCGCCGAGUUAGGGCGUGGAAGAUCUGCACAGACGAACUUCACUUCUCCACCUCAUAGUUCGUCGUGUUCUUCGUUCAGGGUAAUUAAAAGUUACUUUUACUGCCCUCUUUGAUUCAAAUGAUUUCUGCAAAAUCUUCAAAAGGUGUUUAUUCUUCAAAUUCUUCACAGACUAAACACCUCACAUGUCAUCUGUUCUUGAUUCGUUUCUCUAAGCAAUAAAUUUUCUUCAAGAUUCCUCAAUUGUGCGGAUUUCUGAUCUGUACAACUCUAGAACCUAAGACUAAGAACGCUUGGUGAAAUUCUUCAAGACUCAUCUGGUCAAAUUCCUCAAACUUGUUCUUUUUGGAAAACCUUCUGAGAACGCAUAUGACCUCUCCAAAUUCCUCGCAACUAUACUAUGUUCACAGGUAAUCAUGUCCGCUGCUGAAUCACUAGGUUCUCAUCAACUUAACUCAUUUGCAGCGUUCCUCGAAGAAAAGUUGCAUACUUCUUCAGAGAAUUCCAUUGUUCAAAUUCCUCAUCUGAAGAAAAUGGCUGACGGUAAGAAGCCACAGAAAGGAGGAAAGAGGCCUGAGGUCAACACUGCAUUUGAAAUCCCUGAGGACAUCUAUGCUGGGUACUACACACCCCCUGAGGAGGAUAAAAAUCAGCGCAAAGUGCAUAUUCAAAAGAAUGAGAGGAGAUGGGCAAGAGAGUGGAGGGAGUACAGAUAUGUGACUCCAAAGUACAUGAAGAAAUUCGCUGUUACUCCUCCAUGCUCAAGACCACCAUUGGCACCUGGCCAAGAAGCAGAUCCCACUAGCAUCAAACGCGGUGAGGAGUUUCCUGAAGAAUGGGCCAAGCGACAGGGCAAGUUGGCCAAACAGGCAAAAGAUGCAGUGAAGAAAUUCAACGAAGAUUCCACUGCUCCUGCUGCUGAGGCCUCUGUAAGGCCGAAGAAAUCCAUGGCAAAGAAGCCUGCGCACAAGCCAAGUGCCUCUUCUUCAAUGCCCUCACAGCCAAUUCCUCAGCUAAGCCCUCACGGCCAAUUCCUCAUGCUGCUUCUGCUCCUCCAAAGUCCUCAGCCGCUCCGACAAAAUCCUCAGCACCUGUGCAUCUUGCCACGUGCCAAAGGACUACAGGCAUCUCUAUUGCCUCAGGAGCUUCAGCUAGUUCCUCAGCUGCACCAAAUUCUUCAACAGGACCCUCUCUGCUGAAGACUAAGACCACUGCUGGACAAGGCUCUCGCCCAAGUCCUCACAAGAAGCAGGUCGCCUUCCAAGUGCCGUCUGAAGAAGACGAAGCUGAUGAUGAAGAACUUGAUGAAAUAAUCAGAGACAGGCAAGUCAGGGCCGCUAGAGCCAAGGGCACAAAUGUGCCUCUGCUUUUGGAUCCAAAGUUGAUCCUCGAUUACAUUGAUCUCUGGCAUAAGGACCCAAACACUCCUAUGCCUGACUUCAAGCUGACUCCUGGUCAAAGUCAUAUGCUGACUGCCUUCAUCCAAGAAGAGAAAUGGAAGUUUGAGAAGGCCAGGCAUGUAACACCCCAGAUGUAAAACUUCCAUAUUUGGUAAUAUAUCCAUGUUGAUCUCCAUCCAAUUCCAUUUGGGGUUCCAUCUUUUGGUCUCAUUUUGUUUUGUUUUGUUGUUCUACUCAUUUCAUUGCCAUGCUUACCUUGUCAUAUUGCAUUUGUGCUUCGUGUCAUAUCCCUUUUAGCCAUCAUAUGUUUGCAUCAUGUGCAUAUCAUGUUGUGUUGUGUUUAUGUCAAUUUGCAUUUCCUUGAUAUGCAUGCAUGAUAUGUUGCUGCAUAUGUUCUAUGUGUGAUCCAUGCAUCACCACCUCUCCUUCUUUUUCUUUCUUUUAGCAAGUGCCAUUUUACCCUCCUCCUUUAAUGUUCAUCUUUGCCUCAAUUUUUCAGUCACCAUGUAAGUUACCUCACUGCCAAGUUUCACCUAUUUUGAAGUUGGUUUGGUUGGGGUAAAAAUGCUUCAAGUUUGAACCUAAUUCAAACCUGGAAUAUUUUUCUUCCUCUAAAAAUGCCCAAACCAUUUUUACUAUUAUGUGCAUAAUACUAGGGCUCCGAAGAUAUUUUUCUAUCUUCCUUAGCCUUCCCAAAUCACUCUGGACUUUUCUUGUUUUUCUUCUGUUUGAGAAAAAUAGGAAAAGAAAAGAUUUUGGCAGCAGAGCAGAGCAGCCAGCAGCAGCACCCCCUGGGCCUCGGCCUCCCAGGCCGGCCCAGCUAGCACCCCGCGCCAGCAGGCCCAGCGCGCCAGCCAGCCCGCUCGUUCACCCCUCCGGGCUUUUUCUCACCCGCGCGCGCAUACCCCCGCUAGCCCCUCUCCACGUGGCCAUCCCGGCCCCGCUCGUCAGCGCCUACCCUGUUCCCCGCACCCACCUUUUCCCUCUCCUCUCACCGUCGCCAUGGGGACCGCGAGCACGAGAGCGCGUGAGCUCGCGCCGCUAACCCUAGCCCCUUUUAAGGCCCCAAUCCUUGUCCCCUGCCUCUCCUAGGGUUUCCCUCGUCCGCCGCCGCCGUUUCCUGGUAGGUAUAGCCACCAGAGUGAUCGCGCCAUCGCCGUCCCGAACGCAUCUGGGAGCGUGUCCUCGUCGCCAGCGUGCUCCCCAUCGACCCCAGCUUCCCAGGACGUGUCCAUCUUCCUCCUCGACGUCGUCUACUUCCCCUAUGUCCACUACUUCGCCGCGGGACGCCAAGACGCCGUGAUCUUCUUCCACUUCUUCCCAGCGGUGCCCGCGAGUGUUCGAUCGCCGUCACCGCCUUCUCCGACCUCCUCUGGGGAAACCAAGCACACCACCAUGCUUGUGGUGAGCGCGCGUUCCUCCCCAUCCUUUUUCCCUCUCAUUAGUGCGCCUUGCAGUAGUUUGCCACGAGCACCCGAACGCGCCACCGUCGGGCCUCGUCUCCGGCGAGUGCACGACCUCUUUAGCUCUUCUGCGCAUGCCCAUCAUGAUCGCCGCGUCUCAUCGGCCGGAUCCACGCGAUAAGUAGCUCGCUCAAGCCUUUCGCCUCGUCGCGUUUGAGCUCGUCGCCGCCGCCUCUGUUCGUCGUCGUCGGCGUCGAGUCCGUCGUCGGCCCGUUCUGCUAGUCACACCCGCGGGUGCGGGAUCCUAUGGCGGCCUCGUUGCGCCCCGCCGCCGCGCCUUUUGGUCGCCGGAGAGGCUCCGUCGAGCUCUCCGCCAUCUCUGCACCCCGGCGAGCACCUCCCCUGCUUCCCCUGUUUACGCCACCACCUUGUGGGACCCAAGUCGGACCCACAAGUCAGCCUCUCAGGGGCCAGGACCCCACCUGUCAUCCCCCUCCACUUUCUCCUUUUUCUUUUGUGUUUAUUUUUUUCCAGCGAAUAUUCCAUUUCUAGCAUAUGGAACCUAUCCAUUUCGGGCAAGUCCAUUUCUGGACAUUUCCAAAUAAGGAAAAUGCCAUUUCUGUCAUAUUCCAUUUAGGGCAGGUUUUAACUUAUUGCACUUGUGAUGAUUUUUCUACAGCAACCCCAACAUAUUAUAUAUUUUUUGGGGUAGAAAAAUCCCACCAAUCCAGUGGUGGCAUUAGUUUCUGCAUUUGAGCAAGUUCACGAACAUGUCAUUUUACAUUGUGUUGUUGUUUUGUCUCGUAUGUGUAUAUUCGUGCAAAUAUGCUAUGUGGUUGUUUUCCACAUGGAUAGCUUCAUUUUCAUGUAUACUUCAUGCUAGAAUUUGUUCCAUGCCAUGACAUUCCUGGUAGUGGGUUAAACAAGCUUGUAAAGAUUCCUUGUUGAAUCUGUUUCUGCUAUGUCUAGCCAUUUCACUGUCAUUGCUCUGGUGAUAUUUUUAUGCCAUGUAUCCAUGUGUCUACAGUGAGAUUCAUGCUUCUUUUGAGUAUGUUCAUUAAGGAUGUUUUGUAGAUAUGGUUAUGCUCUAUCCAUCCAUGCCCCUGUUUGCAAUUAUGGAGUGACCUAGCAUGUCUCAAUCUUGCUCUACUUUUGCUAUAAAAUGUUCCUCGCAGAUUGUUUACAUGUUCAUCAAUUUUGCCAAGGUUAUUGUAGUUGACCCUUGCAUGCUAUGAGCUUAUUCUUGCCACGGUUAGCUUCAUAAACAUGCCAUCUUCCUGUAGGUAUGCUUGUUUUGUCAUGCAUUGCUUUUUGAUGAGUGAAUCGAGCUCACAAAGAUGCCUUCAUAAUUCCGUUAAUGCCAUGCUCUGUUUUCUGCCAAGUCUGAAACCUGUUAACGAAACUUGCUAUGUUUACAUGGGUGCCAUCAUAUCUUCUUAUCCUUUUUGGCUCAUGGUCAGUAAGGGACUUUUGUUCUAUGCAUUUAGUAGAUUCAUGCCAUGCCUUGUUUUGCUAUGUUAAGUUCCCGUAGCAUGUUGAUUGCUGGCCCUGAACAUUGCUACCUGAUGCUGUUUCUGCCAUGUCCAGUAAUUUCACCAAGUCUGUGAAGCUGAUAUCUUUUGCACUUUUGCCAUGCUUGUUUGAACCUGUCAUGGUGUGAUCUAGCCGUAGCUCAGUGUUCAUCUUUUAUCAAGCAUCUCCUUUAGAUUACUGCCAUAUGCUUUUUUGCUAUGGUUGGGUGCUGUAACAUAGUUACUUGAUGUAUUCUAAGUGCUAUCAUGCUGUUAAUCGCAGAAUCGUGUCAUUCUUGUAUUGCUUGCCAUUUGCAAACCGUGCAUCCGUUACCGGUGAUCUUUACAUUGAUUUCGAUCGAAAUCAUCUCAUCUUUCUAGUGGCAUACUUGGUUUGCCAAGUUACUGCCUUGUUCGUUCUUUUUCUUCCGGAGCACGCAUAUGCAUCGCAUACCACAUCUCGCAUAUCAUGCAUGUUUUGCAUCAUGUUGCUUGUGCAUUGCCCGUGAUUGAUUGUGGUUCCAUUGCUUGUGUUCUUGCUGUGGGUAGAGCCGGGAGACGAUUUCGCGAACGAGGAACCUGUUGAGUACGCUUACGAGGAUCAAGCUUUCGACAACUCUGCGAACCUUGCAGGCAAGAUGACCAUACCCUUGAAAUCACUUCUAUCUUUGCUUUGCUAGUUAUUCGUUCUACUGCUAUGCUGCGCUACCUACCACUUGCUAUAUCAUGCCUCCCAUAUUGCCAUGUCAAGCCUCUAACCAUCCUUUCCUAGCAAACCGUUGUUUGGCUAAGUUACCGCUUUUGCUCAGCCCUUCUUAUAGCGUUGCUAGUUGCAGGUGAAGUUGAAGUUGGUUCCAUGUUGGAACAUGGAUAUUUUGGAAUAUUACAAUAUCUCUUAGUUAAUUAAUGCAUCUAUAUAUUUGGUAAGGGUGGAAGGCUCGGCCUUAUGCCUGGUGUUUUGUUCCACUCUUGCCGCCCUAGUUUCCGUCAUACCGGUAUUAUGUUCCUUGAGUUUGCGUUCCUUACGCGGUUGGGUGAUUUAUGGGACCCCCUUGACAGUUCGCCUUGAAUAAAACUCCUCCAGCAAGGCCCAACCUUGGUUUUACCAUUUGCCACCUAAGCCUUUUCCCUUGGGUUUUCGGGAGCCCGAGGGUCAUCUUUAUUUUAACCCCCCGGGCCAGUGCUCCUUUGAGUGUUGGUCCAAACUAGAGCACCGUGCGGGACCGUCCCUUGGCAACUUGAGUUAUGUUGGUACCUGUACGCUUCACUUAUCCGGUGUGCCCUGAGAACGAGAUAUGUGCAGCUCCUAUCGGGAUUUGUCGGCACAGUCGGGUGGUCUUGCUGGUCUUGUUUUACCAUUGUCGAGACGUCUUGUAAACCGGGAUUCCGAGACUGAUCGGGUCUUCCCGGGAGAAGGUUUAUCCUUCGUUGACCAUGAGAGCUUAUGAUGGGCUAAGUUGGGACACCCCUGCAGGGUAUUAUCUUUCGAAAGCCGUGCCCGCGGUUAUGAGGCAGAUGGGAAUUUGUUAAUGUCCGGUUGUAGAGAACUUGACACUUGACUUAAUUAAAAUACAUCAACCGUGUGUGUAGACGUGAUGGUCUCUUUUCGGCGGAGUCCGGGAAGUGAACACGGUUUGAGUUAUGCAUGAACGUAAGUAGUUUUUCAGGAUCACUUCUUGAUCAUUUCUAGCCUCGCGACCGUUGCGUUGCUUCUCUUCUCGCUCUCAUUUGCGUAUGUUAGCCACCAUAUAUGCUUAGUGCUUGCUGCAGCUCCACCUCAUUACACCAUCCUUUGCUAUAAGCUUAAAUAGUCUUGAUCUCGCGGGUGUGAGAUUGCUGAGUCCUCGUGACUCACGGUUUCUACAAAAACAGUUGCAGGUGCCGACGAUACCAGUGCAGAUGAUGCAACCGAGCUCAAGUAGGAGUUCAACGAGGAACGUGGUCAUUACUAUGUUUCUUUUCCUGAUGAUCAGUAGUGGAGCCUAGUUGGGACGAUCGGGGAUCUAGCAUUUGGGGUUAUCUUAUUUUCAUUUGGAUUUGACCGUAGUCGGUCUAUGUGUGGAUUUUGGAUGAUGUAUGAAUUAAUUUAUGUAUUGUGUGAAGUGGCGAUUGUAAGCCAACUCUCGUUAUCCCAUUCUUGUUCAUUACAUGGGAUUGUGUGAAGAUGACCCUUCUUGCGACAAUACCACAAUGCGGUUAUGUCUCUAAGUCGUGCCUCGACACGUGGGAGAUAUAGCCGCAUCGUGGGCUUUACAAGUUGGUAAUCAGAGCCAUCCCCGACUUAGGAGCCCCCUGCUUGAUCGAAUCGCUGGCGUUGUUGAGUCUAGAACAAAAAUGUUUUGAGUCUUAGGAUAAUAUAUAUCGAAGAGUAGGAUUCUUUUUACUCCUCAGUCCCUUCGUCUCUCUGGUGAGGCCUCCUGACGUAGAAGUUUUGACUCUUCUCUCCUCAAAUUUCACUAAAAAAAUUUAGGAUCACGCGGGUAUCUUGGAAUCGUCCCGAUGGUUUUGUGACGAGAACAUUGUUCUUGGUGCCUCCUGACAUUUAGGGGUUGUGGCAGUGUCCCGGGGAGUUGAGCUCCGAGGUGUUGUCGUCACAAUUUUAUCGUUGCAGUUCUGGAAUACCUGAGUUUCGCCGACGUCGAAAAUCUCUUUUAUGCAGUUGUUGGUGAGAUCACCUCGACGCCACCCAGUACUGGGGCGGGAGUUCGGGGGUAUUGCCAUAACUCGUAUAACGGAUGCUUUUCGAAGGUUGAGGUACAUGAUUUCCGAAGGUUUCUUGGUUAUGUGUUGACGGAUCGAUACAGCUGGAUCUAGGGAUUGCUAGUUUGGGUGAUAUAUUUUGUGUCCCCUGUAUCCCCAACACCGGAUUGCAUAACCAGAAAGUUUCGGGAGUUUAUAGGUGGGAUUCAAGUAGCUCUUAGCAUUGCUUCCCGCAGAUAUUUGGUUUGUGAUUGGGUAAUCCUUACCAUUUAUUUGUUCCAGUCAUACCUUUUUUUAUUUUAUUCAUCAAUCUCUUAUCAAGUGGCUUCUCACCUUAAUGGAAGUGUGAUGAUUUACUAUGGAAUUCAUUUGUUCAUCCUCAUUUGAAUGUUUAUUGAGAAGACUAUAUGUUGCAAUUUCUAUCCGUUGAUUCAACUUGUCUAUCUGUCUAUCAAGAUGCUAACGGAUGUCACCCUCUUCAGGAUGGCUCCGCCAACGCGUCAGAAUCCGGAACGCAAUGAAGGGAGUCAGGCGAACCCUCCGCCACCACCUCCGCCUCCGGAGGCAUGGCAAGCUAUCAUGGCAGCCACCAACGCCAAUGCUUAGAUGAUUUUGCAACUCUUGCAAGAACGCACCCAAGGGCAAGGCAAUCAAGGCCAAGGCAACAAUCAGCCUCACUUCGCUACCCUCAACCAGUUCCUCGCAAAUCAGCCGAAGUCUUUUAGCUGCUGUGCCGAGGCCACAGAUGCCGAUGAUUGGCUCGUGGACAUCAACAAGCAUUUUGAAUGUAGCAAUGUCAGGCCUGAGGACUUUGUCAAGUUUGCUUCUUUUCAACUCAAGGAUCAAGCUGUCGAGUGGUAUCAACAAUACAAAGAUUCCAGAGGAGGUCAUGUGAUUACCUGGGAUGAUUUCCGUCGAGACUUCAAAGCUCACCACAUUCCACAAAGUGUUGUUGAGAGCAAGCGUGAGGAGUUCCGCAAUCUCAAGCAAGGCAGCAUGUCCGUGUAUCAAUACAAUACCCAGUUUCAGAAACUCACUCGCUUCGCUGAGCAAGACGUUCCUGAUGAGAAGAGCAUGAUCUAUCAAUUCAGAGGUGGCCUCAGAGAAGAUCUGCAAUUACCUCUCGUGCUUUUUGAGCCGACCAAGUAUGAUGAUUUCUACAAUAUGGCUCUAAAGCAAGAGGCUGCUCGGCUCAAGUGUGAGGCUUCUAAGAAGAGAGUCAGGGAUGCAGUUCAGUCUUCAUCUUCCUCACUAGUGGCUGCUAAGCAACAGAAGUUCUGGUUGCCUCCUCCUCCUCCGUUUCGUCAGCCUUUCCAGCAGAAGAACAAAGGUGGCCAUGGAUCUUCCCACCCACCCAACCCUGGCUAUCAGAACAAGUCUCAGAAUCAAGCUCCAAAGUCGAAUGCUCCUUAUCAUCGUCCACUCUCAGAGGUGACUUGCAACAAGUGUCAGCAGAAAGGUCACUAUGCUAACAAAUGCUUCAACCAAAGGCGCCUUCCGCCUCCUCCUCCUGUGAGAUCUUCCAGCAAUGCAGUGGUCAAGCAUAAUCCCAAGUCUGCAAAGGUGAACAUGAUGAAUGCAGCUCAGGCGGAGGAAUCUACUGAUGUGAUAAUGGGUAAUCUCUCAGUCAAUGAUAUUCCUGCAAAAGUUUUAUUUGAUACUGGUGCAUCGCUUUGUUUCAUGUCAAGAUCGUUCUUUGCAAAAAAUGAUUUUACUUGGUCUUACCUGGAUAAACCUUUGGGUGUUGUUUCUUCGGGGAAGUCAAUGAGAUCCAACUCGAUAGUUCUUGAUGUCUCUAUCAAGAUGGGCGACUAUAAAUUUCUGUCUUCUCCAGUUGUCCUUGGUGACUCGGAUAUUGAUCUAAUUCUCGGAAUGGAUUGGCUUUCUAAGCACAAGGCUCAACUUGAUUGUGCUGCCAGGGAAAUUAAAUUGACACACUCUUCUGAGGAUGUUAUUAUCUAUGCCGCUCGUGAUGAAACCAUUCGGUUGUUUUCUCUCAAUGAGAAGGGCAAGUUGGAUGCUAUUUCUCAAAUUCCAGUCGUUUGUGAGUAUCAAGAUGUCUUUCCAGAAGAGCUUCCGGGUAUGCCUCCUCACCGGCCAGUUGAGUUCGUUAUCGAUCUUGAGCCCGGCACUGAACCCGUUUGCAAGCGUCCUUACAAGCUUGGACCCAAGGUGCUGAAGGAAUUGAAGAAACAGCUCGAUGAACAAGAGCGUCUGGGUCUGAUCAGACCGAGUUCAUCUCCAUGGGGUUGUGGAGUUCUUUUUGUCCAGAAGAAGGAUGGCACGGACCGACUUUGCGUCGACUACCGUCCAUUGAACAAGAAGACAAUCAAGAACAAGUAUCCACUUCCCAACAUCAAUGAACUAUUCGAGCAACUUAAAGGUGCUAAAGUAUUCUCCAAGCUUGACCUUCGUAUGGGUUAUCAUCAGAUUCGUAUUCGGGAAGAAGAUAUUCCCAAGACAGCAUUCAGAACAAGUUUUGGUUCUUAUGAAUAUACUGUCAUGUCUUUCGGCCUUGUCAAUGCUCCUCCAACAUUCUCUCGAAUGAUGAACUUCAUCUUCAACCCCUAUACCAAUGAAUUCGUCCUGGUGUAUCUCGAUGAUAUCUUGGUCUUCUCCAAGAAUAAGAAGGACCAUGCCAAACAUUUGCGAUUGGUGCUCGACAAGCUCAGAGAGUAUCAAUUCUAUGCGAAGUUUUCCAAAUGUGAGUUUUGGCUCGAUGAAGUUCUUUACCUUGGUCAUAUCAUCUCUGCCAAGGGCAUCGCUGUUAAUCCCGAGAAGGUGUCUGCAAUUGUGAAUUGGGAACCUCCUGAGAAUGUCAAGCAGCUUCGUAGUUUUCUUGGUCUUGCAAGCUAUUGCCGAAGAUUCGUUGAGAAUUUCUCUAAGAUUGCAAAGCCUCUUUCCAACCUCCUCCAGAAGCAUGUGAAGUAUGUCUAGACUCCUGAGUGUGACGUUGCUUUCAACACUCUCAAAGAGAAACUUGUCACAGCUCCUGUCUUGACUCCUCCUGACGAAUCCAAGCCAUUCGAAGUUUUCUAUGAUGCUUCUCUUCAAGGUCUCGGUGCUGUGUUAAUGCAAGAGAAGAAAGUUGUGGCCUAUACCUCUCGUCAGUUGAAGCCCAACGAAAAGAACUACCCCACUCACGAUCUUGAGUUGGCGGCAGUUGUCCAUGCAUUAAUAACAUGGAGACAUCUCUUGUUGGGAAGAAAAGUGGACAUAUUCACCGAUCACAAGAGUCUCAAGUACAUCUUCACUCAGCCCAACCUCAACCUCAGGCAAACUCGAUGGGUCGAGAUGAUUCAAGAGUACAAUCCGAGUAUUGAAUACACUCCAGGCAAGGCCAAUGUCAUUGCAGAUGAUUUGAGCAGGAAGGCUUAUUGCAACAGUUUAAUCCUCAAGCCAUUUCAACCGGAUCUUUGUGAAGCUUUCCGCAAACUCAAUCUCCAAGUUGUUCCUCAAGGCUUUCUUGCCAACCUCAUAGUCUCUCCUACUUUGGAAGAUCAAAUUCGUGAGGCACAACUCCUGGAUACCAUGGUGAAGAAGGUGAAACGUGGUAUUGACAAGGGUCUUUCAAAAUACAAGUGCUAUGCAUUGAUGACAGAGACACUUUGUUCUUUGAGGACCGGAUUGUGGUUCCUAAUGGUGAUCUAAGGAAAGUCAUUAUGAACGAGGCACACAAUUCUCUUCUUUCCAUUCAUCCUGGAAGUACGAAGAUGUACCAUGACCUCAAGCAGUCGUAUUGGUGGACUCGAAUGAAGCGAGAAAUCGCUCAAUUCGUGAACGAAUGUGAUGUCUGUUGAAGGGUGAAAGCAGAACACCAACGACCAGCUGGUCUCCUCCAACCUCUUGCUAUCCCAGAAUGGAACUUUGAUCAUAUCGAAAUGGACUUCGUGACUGGUUUUCCUAAGUCCAAGCGCGGAAAUGAUGCUAUCUUCGUUGUCAUCGACAAGCUUACAAAAGUGGCUCAUUUUCUUCCUAUCAAAGAAUCUAUCACAGCAGCUCAGUUGGCAGAGCUAUACACCUCCAGGAUUGUCUCCUUGCACGGCAUUCCACAAUUUAUUUCUUCAGAUCAUGGAAGCAUCUUCACUUCUAAGUUCUGGGUCUCCUUCCAGAAGGCCAUGGGCACCAACAUUCGCUUCAACACAGCUUUCCAUCCUCAAACUAGUGGCCAAGUCGAGCGAGUCAAUCAAAUCCUUGAAGAUAUGCUCAGGGCUUGUGUCAUUUCCUUUGGCAUGAAGUGGGAAGAUUGUCUUCCAUAUGCCGAAUUCUCCUACAACAACAGCUUUCAAGCGAGUUCGGGCAAGGCCCCAUUCGAGAUUCUCUAUGGCAGAAAGUGCCGUACUCCUCUCAAUUGGUCAGAGACUGGUGAACGCCAACUUCUUGGCAAUGAAUUAAUCACAGAGGCUGAAGAAAUGUGUAAAGUCAUCCGUGAAAAUCUCAAAGCCGCGCAAUCGUGCCAGAAGAGUUACUAUGAUAGCAAGCACCGUGAUGUGGCUUUCGAGAUCGGAGACCAUGUCUACCUCCGCGUCUCUCCAAUGAAAGGCACUCGUCGCUUCGGUAUCGAAGGGAAGCUUGCCCCUAGAUACGUGGGUCCUUUCAAGAUCAUUGGCAAAAGAGGUGACCUCGCCUAUCAACUUGAGCUUCCCUCCAACUUCGCGAACGUGCACGAUGUGUUCCACGUGUCACAGCUUCGCAAGUGCUUCAAGACUCCUAAGCGCACCAUCAACUUCGAAGAGAUUGACCUCCAAGAAGAUCUGUCUUAUCAUGAGCACCCCGUUGCUAUUCUUGAAGAAACUGAGCGUAAGACUCGCAACAAGUCAAUCAAAUUCCUGAAAGUGAAGUGGUCGCAUCAUUCCGACCGAGAAGCCACCUGGGAGCGCGAGGACCACCUCCGUUCCGAAUAUCCGGAGUUCUUUCAGUCCUAGAUCUCGGGACGAGAUCCUCUUGUAGUGGUGGAGUGUUGUAACACCCCAGAUGUAAAACUUCCAUAUUUGGUAAUAUAUCCAUGUUGAUCUCCAUCCAAUUCCAUUUGGGGUUCCAUCUUUUUGUCUCAUUUUGUUUUGUUUUGUUGUUCUACUCAUUUCAUUGCCAUGCUUACCUUGUCAUAUUGCAUUUGUGCUUCGUGUCAUAUCCCUUUUAGCCAUCAUAUGUUUGCAUCAUGUGCAUAUCAUGUUGUGUUGUUUUUAUGUCAAUUUGCAUUUCCUUGAUAUGCAUGCAUGAUAUGUUGCUGCAUAUGUUCAAUGUGUGAUCCAUGCAUCACCACCUCUCCUUCUUUUUCUUUCUUUUAGCAAGUGCCAUUUUACCCUCCUCCUUUAAUGUUCAUCUUUGCCUCAAUUUUUAAGUCACCAUGUAAGUUACCUCACUGCCAAGUUUCACCUAUUUUGAAGUUGGUUUGGUUGGGGUAAAAAUGCUUCAAGUUUGAACCUAAUUCAAACCUGGAAUAUUUUUCUUCCUCUAAAAAUGCCCAAACCAUUUUUACUAUUAUGUGCAUAAUACUAGGGCUCCGAAGAUAUUUUUAUAUCUUCCUUAGCCAUCCCAAAUCACUCUGGACUUCUCUUAUUUUUCUUCUGUUUGAGAAAAAUAGGAAAAGAAAAGAUUUUGGCAGCAAAGCAGAGCAGCCAGCAGCAGCACCCCCCUCGGCCUCGGCCUCCCAGGCCGGCCCAGCUAGCACCCCGCGCCAGCAGGCCCAGCGCGCCAGCCAGCCCGCUCGUUCACCCCUCCGGGCUUUUUCUCACCCGCGCGCGCGCAUACUCCCGCUAGCCCCUCUCCACGUGGCCAUCCCGGCCCCGCUCGUCAGCGCCUACCCUGUUCCCCGCACCCACCUUUUCCCUCUCCUCUCGCCGUCGCCAUGGGGACCGCGAGCACGAGAGCGUGUGAGCUCGCGCCGCUAACCCUAGCCCCUUUUAAGGCCCCAAUCCUUGUCCCCUGCCUCUCCUAGGGUUUCCCUCGUCCGCCGCUGCCGUUUCCUGGUAGGUAUAGCCACCAGAGUGAUCGCGCCAUCGCCGUCCCGAACGCAUCUGGGAGCGCGUCCUCGUCGCCGGCGUGCUCCCCGUCGACCCCAGCUUCCCAGGACGUGUCCAUCUUCCUCCUCGACGUCGUCUACUUCCCCUACGUCCACUACUUCGCCGCGGGACGCCAAGACGCUGUGAUCUUCUUCCACUUCUUCCCAGCGGUGCCCGCGAGUGUUCGAUCGCCGUCACCGCCUUCUCCGACCUCCUCUUGGGAAACCAAGCACACCACCGUGCUUGUGGUGAGCGCGCGUUCCUCCCCAUCCUUUUUCCCUCUCAUUAGUGCGCCUUGCAGUAGUUUGCCACGAGCACCCGAACGCGCCGCCGUCGGGCCUCGUCUCCGGCGAGUGCACGACCUCUUUAGCUCUUCUGCGCAUGCCCAUCAUGAUCGCCGCGUCUCAUCGGUCGGAUCCACGCGAUCAGUAGCUCGCUCAAGCCUUUCGCCUCUGUGACGCCCCCGAUUUGACCGUACACUAAUCAUGCACGCAAAUGUGUACGACCAAGAUCAGGGACUCACGGGAAGAUAUCACAACACAACUCUAAAACAUAAAUAAGUCAUACAAGCAUCAUAAUACAAGCCAGGGGCCUCGAGGGCUCGAAUACAAGUGCUCGAUCACAGACGAGUCAGCGGAAGCAACAAUAUCUGAGUACAGACAUAAGUUAAACAAGUUUUGCCUUAAGAAGGCUAGCACAAAAGUAGCAACGAUCGAAGAGGCAAGGCCUCCUGCCUGGGACCUCCUAACUACUCCUGGUCGUCGUCAGCGGCCUGCACGUAGUAGUAGGCACCUCCAGUGCCGUGGGAGUCGUCGUCGACGGUGGCGUCUGGCUCCUGGACUCCAACAUCUGGUUGCGACAACCAGAUAGAAAGGAAAGGGGGAAAAAGAGGGAGAGAAGCAACCGUGAGUACUCAUCCAAAGUACUCGCAAGCAAGGAGCUACACUACAUAUGCAUGGGUAUAUGUGUAAAGGGGCAUAUCAGUGGACUGAACUGCAGAAUGCCAGAAUUAAAAGGGGGAUAGCUAGUCCUGUCGAAGACUACGCUUCUGGUCAUCUCCAUCUUGCAGCAUAUAGAAGAGAAUAGAGUGAAGUCCUCCAAGUAGCAUCGCAUAGCAUAAUCCUACCCGGCAAUCCCCUCCUCGUCGCCCUGUUAGAGAGCGAUCACCGGGUUGUAUCUGGCACUUGGAAGGGUGUAUUUUAUUCAGUAUCCAGUUCUAGUUGUCAUAAGCUCAAGGAACAACUCCGGGUCGUCCUUUUACCGAGGGACACGGCUAUUCGAAUAGAUAAACUUCCCUGCAGGGGUGCACCACAUAACCCAACACGCUCGAUCCCAAUUGGCCGGACACACUUUUCUGGGUCAUGCCCGGCCUCGUAAGAUCAACGCGUCGCAGCCCCACCUAAGCACAACAGAGCGGUCAGCACGCCGGUCUAAUCCUAAGCGCGCAGGGGUCUGGGCCCAUCGCCCUAUGCACACCUGCACGUUGCGAACGCGGCCGCGAGCAGACCUAGCAACCCACACGAUCACGGCGGUUACGUCAAAGCGGUCCAACACGGCGCGCGCCACACAGUCGCUGACGUCACGAAGGCUUCGGCUGAUACCACGACGCCGGGAUACCCAUAACUACUCCCGCGUAGAUGGCUAGUGCGUAUAGACCAAAUGGCCAGACUCAGAUCAAAUACCAAGAUCUCGUUAAGCGUGUUAAGUAUCCGCGAACGCCGACCAGGGCCAGGCCCACCUCUUACCUAGGCGGUCUCAACCUGCCCUGUCGCUCCGCCACAAAGAUCCACUUGCGGGUACUCCUACGAGCCGACCCGACUUUAGUCAUCACAUGUGUCAUGUAUAUAGUAUAUAAGUAUAUACCCGCGAUCACCGCCCAGGUGAUCACGGCCCGAUAGUGUAGCACAGCAGACGGACAAGGAUGUAGGGCCACUGAUGGAAAUCUAGCAUCCUAUACUAAGCAUGUAGGAUUGCAGGUAAAGGUAUCAACAGUAGUAGCAAGGAUAGGCUAUGCAUCAGAAUAGGAUAUCGAAAAGCAGUAACAUGCUACACUACUCUAAUGCAAGCAGUAUAGAGGAGAGUAGGCGAUAUCUGGUGAUCAAGGGGGGGCUUGCCUGGUUGCUCUGGCAAGUAGGAGGGGUCGUCGACUCCGUAGUCGAACUGGGCAGCAGCAGUGUCGGUCUCGUAGUCUACCGGAGAGAAGAGGGGGAAGAAACAGUAAAUACAAUGCAAACACAAGCAUGACGAUGCGUGACAUGACAGUGAGCGGUGCUAGGGGUGUCCUAACGCGACAGUAGGUGGUACCGGUGAAGGGGGGGAACAUCCGGGAGAGUAUUCCCGAUGUUUUGCGUUUUCGGACAGAAGGACCGGAGGGGGAAAGUUGCGAGUUCGAUAGGUUAGGGAGGUGUGGUGGACGCACGGACUGCGUAUCCGGAUUCGUCUCGUCGUUCUGAGCAACUUUCAUAUAGAAAACAUUUUCAUCCGAGUUACGGUUUAAAAGAUAUGAAUUUUCAAAGUUUAUUUGAAUUUCUGGAAUUAUUUAAUUAACAGAAAAAGGGAUAUGACGUCAGCAUGACGUAUGAGUGACGUCAGCGGUCAACAGUCCGGGUUGACUGGUCAAACUGACACGGGGGACCCACCUGUCAUAGACAGUGGGUUAACAGAGGAUUAAACUAAUUAACUUUUAGUUAAUUAACUAAUGGGCCCACCUGUCAGUGAGAGAUUAUUUAAACUAAUUAUUUUUAUUUAUAAAACAUUUUCUUUUUCUUUUCUUUUUUUUUUAAAUUUUGCGGCGGGGCCCGCAUGUCAGUGACUGGGCCUGCCCAGUCAGCAGUUGACUGGGUCAACCCAGUCAACUGGAGCCCGUGGGGGCCACUGGCAGUGACCCAGGGGGUGGCCCCAGGUGUGCCACGUCGGCGGCCGGCGCCGGCGCAACUCCGGCGACCAAAACCGCGGCGGUCCCUCGCCGGAGUUGGCCGGAAUUGCGCUAGGGGGCUCGGGGAGGAACGGGGCUAGGCCCAUUCGAAAGAACUCGCAGCGCCGCAUCCAGGGGUGGCCGGGGCUUCGCCGGACUCGGCCGGAAUCGGCGCCGGCGAGCGGCGGAGGCGGCGGCGCGCACGGGUGCCUGACGGAAACAGGGCUACGGCAGGCGGUCGAGCAAGCGGAGGGGCUGGGGAGCUUCUACGUGCGGUGGGGAGCGCUGUGAGCUUGAGCCCGUGACCAUUUGGUGACCGGAGACCCGCCGGCGGCGAGCUCCGCGGCGCGGCGUUCGGGCGCGCGUGGGGGAAAAGCUAGGGAGCGUGGGCGAGCUAGCGGAGUGGGGGAGGAGGUAGAGGAGCUCACCGCGUGGCGCAAGAAAGGCCCGUGGGUGCUUAGGAGCAGCAGGUCGGCGCCGGGGAAGAAGGGGGUCACCGGCGUCCGAGGUUGAAGGCGAGCUCGGGGAGGCCGUUGCGGUGGCUCCGAGCUUCGACGGAGAGGCGGAGGGGGUGUAGUCGAGGGCGGCGACGUCGUACGACACGGCGAGGUGGCGAGUGGGGCACGGUGGCCGCGUGAACGACGGGAACGGCGGCGAGCGCGUCGGGCGUGGGGCAGAGGAGAGCGGCGCGGAUCCGGGGGAGGGAAGAGGGAGGCGCGGGGCCGAGAGGGAGAGCGGGGUGAGUGGGAGGGAGGCCCGAGGAGGCGGGGGAGCUGGCGACCUUAUCCCCUCCAGCGUCGGUGCCGGCGAGGGGGUCGGGCGGCAGCGCGCCCCUGUUCCGACCCGGUCGGGGGAACAGGGAAGGGGCGAGGGAGGAGGUGGGCUGGGCCGGGGGCGCGGCUGCGGCCCAGUUUGGGCCGGGGGGGCAGUGGGGGGGAAGCGGGCCUUUUUCCCCUUUUUUUUCUUUUUCUCUGCCUGGGUUCUGUUUUCUGUUUUCUCUUUAUUUGCUUAUUCCCUUUUCUGUUUUAUUUCAUUUAAAAGUAUUUAGACAUUUUAUAAAAAUGUGUUUUCUCCACCAUAGUUACCAGUGUAUUAUUUAGCACCCACUGAACAUUUUUGUUUGAAUUUUUGAAAACUUUUAUUUUUCACUUUAAUUAUAUUUGAAGUUUGAACUAGGAGUUUGACAGGGGUGGGGUUCCAAUGUGAUCAAGCCCUUUUUAGCAACAUGAUUAGCUUAAUCACAGGGAGUUACUGUAGCAUGAUUCUCAGGGUGUUACAGCCUCCUCGCGUUUGAGCUCGCCGCCGCCGCCUCUGUUCGUCGUCGCCGGCGUCGAGUCUGUCGUCGGCCCGUUCUGCUAGUCACACCCGCGGGUGCGGGAUCCUAUGGCGGCCUCGUUGCGCCCCGCCGCCGCGCCUUUUGGUCGCCGGAGAGGCUCCGUCGAGCUCUCCGCCGUCUCUGCACCCCGGCGAGCACCUCCCCUGCUUCCCCUGUUUACGCCACCACCUUGUGGGACCCAAGUCGGACCCACAAGUCAGCCUCUCAGGGGCCAGGACCCCACCUGUCACCCCCCCUCCACUUUCUCCUUUUUCUUUUGUGUUUAUUUUUUUCCAGCGAAUAUUCCAUUUCUAGCAUAUGGAAUCUAUCCAUUUCGGGCAAGUCCAUUUCUGGACGUUUCCAAAUAAGGAAAAUGCCAUUUCUGUCAUAUUCCAUUUAGGGCAGGUUUUAACUUAUUGCACUUGUGAUGAUUUUUCUACAGCAACCCCAACAUAUUAUAUAUUUUUUGGGGUAGAAAAAUCCCACCAAUCCAGUGGUGGCAUUAGUUUCUGCAUUUGAGCAAGUCACGAACAUGUCAUUUUACAUUGUGUUGUUGUUUUGUCCGUAUGUGUAUAUUCGUGCGAAUAUGCUAUGUGGUUGUUUUGCACAUGGAUAGCUUCAUUUUCAUGUAUACUUCAUGCUAGAAUUUGUUCCAUGCCAUGACAUUCCUGGUAGUGGGUUAAACAAGCUUGUAAAGAUUCCUUGUUGAAUCUGUUUCUGCUAUGUCUAGCCAUUUCACUGUCAUUGCUCUGGUGAUAUUUUUAUGCGAUGUAUCCAUGUGUCUACAGUGAGAUUCAUGCUUCUUUUGAGUAUGUUCAUUAAGGAUGUAUUGUAGAUAUGGUUAUGCUCUAUCCAUCCAUGCCCCUGUUUGCAAUUAUGGAGUGACCUAGCAUGUCUCAAUAUUGCUCUACUUUUGCUAUAAAAUGUUCCUGGCAGAUUGUUUACAUGUUCAUGAAUUUUGCCAAGGUUGUUGUAGUUGAUCCUUACAUGCUAUGAGCUUAUUCUUGCCAUGGUUAGCUUCAUAAACAUGCCAUCUUCCUGUAGGUAUGCUUGUUUUGUCAUGCAUUGCUUUGUGAUGAGUGAAUCGAGCUCAUAAAGAUGCCUUCAUAAUUCUGUUAAUGCCAUGCUCUGUUUUCUGCCAAGUCUGAAACCUGUUAACGAAACUUGCUAUGUUUACAUGGGUGCCAUCAUAUCUUCUGAUGCUUUUUGGCUCAUGGUCUGUAAGGGACUUUUGUUCUAUGCAUUUACUAGAUUCAUGCCAUGCCUUGUUUUGCUAUGUUAAGUUCCUGUAGCAUGUUGAUUGCUGGCCCUGAACAUUGCUACCUGAUGCUGUUUUUGCCAUGUCCAGUAAUUUCACCAAGUCUGUGAAGCUGAUAUCUUUUGCACUUUUGCCAUGCUUGUUUGAACCUGUUAUGGUGUGAUCUAGCCAUAGCUCAGUGUUCAUCUUUUGUCAAGCAUCUCCUGUAGAUUACUGCCAUAUGCUUUGUUGCUAUGUUGGGGUGCUGUAGCAUAGUUACUUGAUGUAUUCUAAGUGCUAUCAUGCUGUUACUUGAUGUAUUCUAAGUGCUAUCAUGCUAUGUUGGGGUGCUGUAGCAUAGUUCUUGUAUUGCUUGCCAUUUGCAAACCGUCCAUCCGUUUCCGGUGAUCUUUAUAUCGAUUUCGACCGAAAUCAUCUCAUCUUUCCAGUGGCAUACUUGGUUUGCCAAGUUACUGCCUUGUUCAUUCUUUUUCUUCCGGAGCACGCAUAUGCAUCGCAUACCACAUCUCGCAUAUCCUGCAUGUUUUGCAUCAUGUUGCUUGUGCAUUGCCCAUGAUUGAUUGUGGUUCCGUUGCUUGUAUUCUUGCUGCGGGUAGAGCCCGGAGACGAGUUCGCGAACGAGGAACCUAUUGAGUACGCUUACGAGGAUCAAGCUUUCGACAACUCUGCGAACCUUGCAGGCAAGAUGACCAUACCCUCGAAAUCACUUCUAUCUUUGCUUUGCUAGUUAUUCGUUCUACUGCUAUGCUGCGCUACCUACCACUUGCUAUAUCAUGCCUCCCAUAUUGCCAUGUCAAGCCUUUAACCAUCCUUUCCUAGCAAACCAUUGUUUGGCUAAGUUACCGCUUUUGCUCAGCCCUUCUUAUAGCGUUGCUAGUUGCAGGUGAAGUUGAAGUUGGUUCCAUGUUGGAACAUGGAUAUUUUGGAAUAUCACAAUAUCUCUUAUUUAAUUAAUGCAUCUAUAUAUUUGGUAAAGGGUGGAAGGCUCGGCCUUUUCCUGGUGUUUUGUUCCACUCUUGCCGCCCUAGUUUCCGUCAUACCGGUAUUAUGUUCCUUGAGUUUGUGUUCCUUACGCGGUUGGGUGAUUUAUGGGACCCCCUUGAUAGUUCGCCUUGAAUAAAACUCCUCCAGCAAGGCCCAACCUUGGUUUUACCAUUUGCCACCUAAGCCUUUUCCCUUGGGUUUUCGCGAGCCCGAGGGUCAUCUUUAUUUUAACCCCCCGGGCCAGUGCUCCUCUGAGUGUUGGUCCAAACUAGAGCACCGUGCGGGACCGUCCCUUGGCAACUUGGGUUAUGUUGGUACCUGUACGCUUCGCUUAUCUAGUGUGCCCUGAGAACGAGAUAUGUGCAGCUCCUAUUGGGAUUUGUCGGCACAGUCGGGUGGUCUUGCUGGUCUUGUUUUACCAUUGUCGAGAUGUCUUGUAAACCGGGAUUCCGAGACUGAUCGGGUCUUCCCGGGAGAAGGUUUAUCCUUCAUUGACCGUGAGAGCUUAUGAUGGGCUAAGUUGGGACACCCCUGUAGGGUAUUAUCUUUCGAAAGCCGUGCCCGCGGUUAUGAGGCAGAUGGGAAUUUGUUAAUGUCCGGUUGUAGAGAACUUGACACUUGACUUAAUUAAAAUACAUCAACCGUGUGUGUAGCCGUGAUGGUCUCUUUUCGGCGGAGUCCGGGAAGUGAACACGGUUUGAGUUAUGCAUGAACGUAAGUAGUUUUUCAGGAUCACUUCUUGAUCAUUUCUAGCCUCGCAACCGUUGUGUUGCUUCUCUUCUCGCUCUCAUUUGCGUAUGUUAGCCACCAUAUAUGCUUAGUGCUUGCUGCAGCUCCACCUCAUUACACCAUCCUUUGCUAUAAGCUUAAAUAGUCUUGAUCUCGCGGGUGUGAGAUUGCUGAGUCCUCGUGACUCACAGUUUCUACAAAAACAGUUGCAUGUGCCAACGAUACCAGUGCAGAUGAUGCAACCGAGCUCAAGUGGGAGUUCGACGAGGAACGUGGUCGUUACUAUGUUUCUUUUCCUGAUGAUCAGUAGUGGAGCCCAGUUGGGACAAUCGGGGAUCUAGCAUUUGGGGUUAUCUUAUUUUCAUUUGGAUUUGACCGUAGUCGGUCUAUGUGUGGAUUUUGGAUGAUGUAUGAAUUAAUUUAUGUAUUGUGUGAAGUGGCGAUUGUAAGCCAACUCUCGUUAUCCCAUUCUUGUUCAUUACAUGGGAUUGUGUGAAGAUGACCCCUCUUGCGACAAUACCACAAUGCGGUUAUGCCUCUAAGUCGUGCCUCGACACGUGGGAGAUAUAGCCGCAUCGUGGGCUUUACAAGGCAGCUCAAGAAAUCACAGUAUAGGAAGGAGAAAUUCCUGAAGAACAACGUUGUCUCUAUGACAACUGAUGAACUUGUGAAGAUCCAGUCUGAAAUCAAAGUCCUCAACGUGUUGGGGAUCGUAGCAGAAAUCAAAAAAAUUCUACGCUUCACCAAGAUCCAUCUAUGGAGUUUACUAGCAACGAGAAGGAAGGAGUGCAUCUACAUACCCUUGUAGAUCGCGAGCGGAAGCGUUCAAGUGAACGGGGUUGAUGGAGUCGUACUCGUCGUGAUCCAAAUCACCGAUGACCGAGCGCCGAACGGACGGCACCUCCGCGUUCAACACACGUACGGAGCAGCGACGUCUCCUCCUUCUUGAUCCAGCAAGGGGGAAGGAGAGGUUGAUGGAGAUCCAGCAGCACGACGGCGUGGUGGUGGAAGUAGCGGGGAUCCCGGCAGGGCUUCGCCAAGCGCAAGCGGGAGGGAGAGGUGUCACGGGAGGGAGAGGGAGGCGCCAGGGGCUAGGGUACUGCUGCCCUCCCUCCCCCCACUAUAUAUAGGCCCCCUGGGGGGGCGCCGACCCUGGGAUCCCUUCUACAUGGGGGGCGGCGGCCAAGGGGGGAAACUUGCCCCCCAAGCCAGGUGGGGCGCCCCCCACCCCCAGGGUUUCUAACCCUAGGCGCAGGGGGAGGCCCAUGGGGGGCGCACCAGCCCACCAGGGGCUAGUUCCCCUCCCACUUCAGCCCAUGGGGCCCUCCGGGAUAGGUGGCCCCACCCGAUGGACCCCCGGGACCCUUCCGGUUGUCCCGGUACAAUACCGAUAACCCCUGAAACUUUCCCGGUGGCCGAAACUGGACUUCCUAUAUAUAAUUCUUCACCUCCGGACCAUUCCGGAACUCCUCGUGACGUCUGGGAUCUCAUCCGGGACUCCGAACAACUUUCGGGUUUCCGCAUACUAGUAUCUCUACAACCCUAGCGUCACCGAACCUUAAGUGUGUAGACCCUACGGGUUCGGGAGACAUGCAGACAUGACCGAGACGACUCUCCGGUCAAUAACCAACAGCGGGAUCUGGAUACCCAUGUUGGCUCCUACAUGUUCCUCGAUGAUCUCAUCGGAUGAACCACGAUAUCGAGGAUUCAAUCAAUCCCGUAUGCAAUUCCCUUUGUCAAUCGGUACGUUACUUGCCCGAGAUUCGAUCGUCGGUAUCCCAAUACCUUGUUCAAUCUCGUUACCGGCAAGUCACUUUACUCAUACCGUAAUGCAUGAUCCCGUGACUAACUCCUUAGUCACAUUGAGCUCAUUAUGAUGAUGCAUUACCGAGUGGGCCCAGAAAUACCUCUUCGUCAUAUGGAGUGACAAAUCCCAGUCUCGAUCCGUGUCAACCCAACAGACACUUUCAGAGAUACCUGUAGUGUACCUUUAUAGUCACCCAGUUACGUUGUGACAUUUGGCACACCCAAAGCACUCCUACGGCAUCCGGGAGUUACACGAUCUCAUGGUCUAAGGAAAUGAUACUUGACAUUGGAAAAGCUCUAGCAAACGAACUACACGAUCUUUGUGCUAUGCUUAGGAUUGGGUCUUGUCCAUCACAUCAUUCUCCUAAUGAUGUGAUCCCGUUAUCAAUGACAUCCAAUGUCCAUAGUUAGGAAACCAUGACUAUCUGUUGAUCAACGAGCUAGUCAACUAGAGGCUUACUAGGGACAUGUUGUGGUCUAUGUAUUCACACAUGUAUUAUGAUUUCCGGAUAACACAAUUAUAGCAUGAACAAUAGACAAUUUAUCAUGAACAAGGAAAUAUAAUAAUAACCAUUUUAUUAUUGCCUCUAGGGCAUAUUUCCAACACAACGAUGAUUUCAAUGCUUACUAUGCUGAUUGGAAAGGAGCCAAGGUCAGGUUUGUCAAACUAACAAAGAUGUUCACCUCAAAUGUUGCAGCCCCAUCACAACAAGAAAUUCCUCAGGCUGAAGCAUCUGCUCAGCCAACUGAAGAACAUGCCAGCACCGCUGAUGACAAUCAGGCUGCUGAAGAAAAUGUGAGUUCCAUGGCUAAUGACUACAUUCCAGCCGCUGAUGAAACUGCCAGGGCACCCACUAGUGGUGAGCCUGAAGAAAAUCAACCACAUUCCUCUGCUCCUCCUACGCCUACACCAACUCCAAUCCUUCCAUCUGCAUCAGAUAUGAAGAAGACCAAGGCUGCAGAGCGUGCAGCAGUGAAGAAAAGGAAAGCAUCAGCUCCUUCAGAUUCUUCAGCACCGAAGAGGAUGAAGAAAUUGACAAGCUCAUUUGCUAAUCCAAUUGAUGUUGUUCCAGUUUCCUCCAUGCCAUCAAAGGAAAUCAUCCCUUUUGAUGAAGAAUAUGUGAUCCCUAGCGAAUCUGAUGAAGAAAAUCCUUCUGCUGCUUCGUCAGAGCAGAUGGAUGAAGAAAUUGAAGUGGAUAAAAUCCCUUCAACCCCCACAGUUUCCUUGCCUAUGCCUCAGUUUACUGCUGAAGAGGCUGGCGUUGAAGAAAUUGAAGAAGAAGAUGUGGACAUUGACUGUACCACACCAGUGAUGAAUGAUGACUUUUGGGAAAGUCAGCACCCCAAUUCUCCACUCUUCACUCCACUCCAGCAAAUUCCUCAAUCCCCAGCCACUACAGUUCAAAUGGGAUCUGAUGAAGCUCAUGAAGACAUUCCAGCCGCUAGUGCUGAAGAAAAUGAAAAUGAAGAUUUGAAGAACCAGGCUGCCACUGAAGAGGAACCAAAAAUUCCUCAGCCUGAAGAACCUGAGAUUGCGAUUCCUGUGGUCGUCAUGCAACUGACUGACACUCCUCUGCCCAAGCCAAAGGAUCCAUUCUCAAGGAAGCAAAAAUUCAAGGCUGAUGAUUUCUUCGGCGAGCACAUAUUCUUCACUGAUUACAACCCUUAUGACUCUGCUCGCAUAAGGAAGAGGCGUUUCUGGACUGCCAGCCAGGCAAAUUUCUAUUCCUCAGUGCUGUUCAACAAAGACAAAGUCUUCGAUCAUGAGCACAUUCCUCACGUGGAUAUGGAAUCUCUGCCAUGCUUCGGGCCAGUCCUCAGUGUUCUCUACGACGCUGCACUGUUAAAUUUCUGCACUGACAUAUGUGAUUGGAAUGAAGAGCUAAUUCUUCAAUUUUAUGCAACUCUGCACAUCACCGGCAACUCUGAAGACGUGAAUUCAUGGGUGCUGGACUGGAUGUCUGAAAACACUCACUACAAAGCACCAGCUACUGAAUUGCUUCAUGCUUUGCCUCUCAGUCCGCCCCUUGAAGGUGCUUGUUGCAUCUACAAUGAACCUAAGCUUACCGAUCACUAUAUGCAAGUGCUGAUGAAGCCUUUGAAGCCAGGUCAGGCCCCAAGAACAAAAUUCCUUGUGAAGGAAUUGCGGUAUGUGCCUCGGACUGUCUAUCGCAUUCUGACGAAGACAUUGAGUCCUAUCAAGGGCCACGACUCGAAUGAAGAAGUCAUUGGCAUCAUGAAGAAUCUGCUUUUCAAUAUCAUUCAUGGCGUUCCCGUCAACUUCCAUGAUUUCUUGAUGAGGACUCUAGCCAAUGUCGCAAUGUCACCAUUUGAGUUGAAGCCUUAUGCACCGUGGAUUAUGAGAUUCAUCAGAACAAGGUCUUGACUCAACUACAAAGCUGAUACACUGAACCAUUGCAACUACUUGCACCUGAUUGAAGUCCUCAAACAGACAUUUUCCUCAGCUGAUGAAAAGGGCAAGGCUACGGCUGUAAUUGAUGAAGGCAUUCGUCCAUUGGAUGGUCAAUUUCGCAAGGCUGCUCCACCAAUGAUGACUCUGCCACCCAUUACUCUGCCGCCAAUGCACCCAAGCAAAAUCCUCAAGGCACAGCACCCAGGGUGAUGACUGACCGUGAGCUUCUCCUCGGUCUUCACCAGAAGGUUGAUCGCAAUCAUAAAUGGGUCAAACGUCAGUUUGGUUCAAUUCUUCACAACAUGACUGCUACCCACAAUGCAGUGAAGAAAAACCACUACUACCUUCAUGAAACCCUCAACCGCACCUGGGCUGUUCUGUCGCACAUAUAUGGUGAAGAAGAUCUGAAGAAAAUGGGUCUCAAGGAAGAUCUCGACUGGGCUGCACCUCCUCCGAAGAAGUACAAGAAGGUCAAAGUUCCUUCCUUGGUCGCCAGCUCCUAUUCUUCAUCAUGUGACACUGAUGAACAUGAGGACUUGGACGACACUGCGGUAGGCCCUACUACAACAAACGACCCCGACAACGCUGAUGCUCCUUCAUCAACUUGAUAUUCUUCAGGGGCGUUAGUCCUCAUUUUCGAACCUUUUGGUCAUUCGAUGACAAAGGGGGAGAAAUUUGAGUUAGUCUUCAAGCGGGUCUAUUAUAUGGGCAUUUUUUCCUAAGUUAAAACUCUCGUUCUUCUGAUGACUUUGUUGGAUCAAGUUGUAAACUUAAACUCUAUGGUGGCCUGAUACUUUUGCUGUUUCUUCUACAUGCUUAUUCCUCGUUAAUGUCAUUGCACGCAUGCUGAAUUACAUCAGUCACCAUAUUUCAUCAUGCAUUUCAAAUUCUUCAUAUAUUAUGUCAAAUGUGUGUAUGAAUUACAAGAUAUAGGGGGAGAUCUCCAUGAUUCACUCUUCAAGUGUGCAUUACUUCAAAAGCAAAUUCCUCACUAUGCACAUCUUCAGGGGGAGUUCUUCUAUAUCUUGCAAUCAAAUUCCUCAAUAUCAGUAUUUACACUUCAUAUGUUUAUCCCCGUUGAAAACUUAACCUAUAUUGUCAUCAAUCACCAAAAAGGGGGAGAUUGUAAGUGCAUCUAGUGCCCCUUAGUGAUUUUGGUGUAUUGAAGACUUAUAGGUUAAGGGACUAAUGUGUUUAUGAGUGUACACAGGUCUAUAAGUCUAUGAGGAGUUUGAUAUUUACAGAGAAAGUCGACCCCUAAAAAUGAAGUUCUUCGACUGAAGACUUUGGAUUUCUGAAGACUUUCUGAAGACUUUGAAAGUGAAGAAAUUGGUGUGACCUUGAAGACUUGGUAUUCAUUGAGGAACAUGAAGCGUGAAGACUUUUGUUUACGUAGUUUCAUUUUCUCUUUCUUGAGUCAUAGGAAACACCGUACUGUUAAAGGGGGUCGAGGAAAUACUAAGGAAAAAUUUCCAUGUGAUGCUCAACUCAAAAUCCUACACCUACCAAUCCCUUCGAGUGAAGCCAUUGGAAAUCUCAUAUAGUUCAGUCAUAUUCUUCAGUGACAGAGACGAAGUUCUUCUGGUCUCUGAGGAAUUUGUUCUGACUGAGGAGUUAGGAAUUCGCCAGUGUGGAUUGCCUACACAGUGAGGAACAUGAUAGCCCUAAGGAAUUUGAUACUCAAAUUUCCGACCGUUGCUGUGCUAUACGCCAGCUGUCCCAAAAUAUCUACCCACCUAACGGUCAUAUCAUUUAAGGGCAUUUAUGUCUUAUCAUGCCGGGCUGCUCCCUAGGCUAUAAAUAGCCGCCCCCUACAACCACUAGCUGGUUGGCUGCUCUGAGAGAAACUGACACUUGUCAUUUGAGAGCAUCCCAUCCUUUGAGGACUUUGAGCGAAAAUCAUCAAGUGAGGAAAACUCAAACCCAAACACCCACAAACCUAAAGUGAUUGAGCAUCACUGAAGAGAUUGAUCCUGCAUGGAUCCGACGCUUGUUACCUUUGAAGACUGUGCUUCUUCCAUACGGUUAGGCGUCAUGGUCUAGAGCAUCCAAGAGGAAAUUGUGGAUCGCCGAGUGACCGAGUUUGUGAAGGUUCGGAAGUCACCCGAAGACUUACCACGAGUGAUUGGGCGAGGUCUGUGUGACCUUAGCUCAAGGGGAAUACGGUGAGGACUAAGUGUCCUGGACUGCGUGUUCAAGACUGGGUGUCCGGGACUGUGUGUCCUCAGGUUUAAAUACCUAGCCGCCCUAACCAGAUGUACAACUGAGACAGCAGUUGGAACUGGUCUACCAAAUCAUUGUCUUCACCAAGCCUACUGGUUCUAUUUCCUCAACUCUUUCAUUUCCUCAUUACUGUGUUGUGUGCUUGUCAUAUCUGUGUUUGAAGACUUUGACUGAAGACUUUCUCAAUUUCCUCAGUUUAAUUUCUUCAGUCUAUUUGUCUUCAUCCUGUGCUAUCCUGUGUUUACGCUUCUGUACUCUGUGCUUGUCUUCAUUUCAUCAUGAUGACCAUGCUUGUGUUCUGCUAUGCAUACUUUUGAGUACUUAUUCCGCUGCAAAUAGUUCUUCACUAAGGAAUUUCCUCACUGGCAAAUUCCUUAGUGAAGAAUUCAUAAAAAUCGCCUAUUCACCCCCCCUCUAGUCGAUAUAACGCACUUUCAAUGUGCUUGCCAAAGGAUAAAAUAUAAAAAGGAAAGGUGAAGAUCACCCUGACUCUUGCAUAAGGUAUAAGACAAGAAUAAAAGAUAGGCCCUUCGCAGAGGGAAGCAGAGGUUGUCAUGUGCUUUUAUGGUUGGAUGCACAAAAUCUUAAUGCGAAAGAACGUCACUUUAUAUUGUCACUUGUGAUAUGGACCUUUAUUAUGCAGUCUGUCGCUUUUAUUUCUUCCACAUCACAAGAUCGUAUAAAGCUUAUUUUCUCCACGCUAAUAAGUCAUACAUAUUUAGAGAGCAAUUUUUAUUGCAAGCAACAUGACAACUUACUUGAAGGAUCUUACUCAAUCCAUAGGUGGAUAUGGUGGACACUCAUGGCAAAACUGGGUUUAAGGGUAUUUGGAAGCACAAGUAGUAUCUCUACUUGGUGCAAAGAAUUGGCUAGCAUGAGGGAGAAAGGCAAGCUCAACAUGUUGGAUGAUCCAUGCCAAUAUACUUUAUUUCAGAUAUAAGAAAACAUAACCCAUUACAUUGUCUUCCUUGUCCAACAUCAACUCUUUAGCAUGUCAUAUUUUAAUGAGUGCUUACAAUCAUAAAAGAUGUCCAAAAUAGUAUAUUUAUAUGUGAAAACCUCUCUUUCUUUAUUACUUCUUAUUAAUUGCAACGAUGACCAAAACUAUGUUUGUCAACUCUCAACAACUUUUAUUCAUCAUACUCUUUAUAUGUGAAGUCAUUACUAUCCAUAAGAUCAAUAUGAUCUCUUUAUUUAUUUUUAUUCUUUCUUUUUCUUUUAUUCACUCAAGAUCAUAGCAAGAUAAUCAAGCCCUUGACUCAACACUAAUCUUUAUUAUAUAUAGCUCACGGACUCGAUUACAUAGAAGGAUCAUAAAGCAAAACUCAAAACUAAAUCAUACUAAAAUUUUAUUCCACUAGAUCAAGAUAUUACCAAAAGGAUCGAACUAAGAAAAACGAUAAAGAUAGGAGUGUGAUGGUGAUACAAUACCUGGGCACCUCCCCCAAGCUUGGCAGUUGCCAAGGGGGUGCCCAUACCCAUGUGAUUAUAUCUCUUUCCUCGGGGGUGGUGUUGACGGAGUUGUUAAUGAUGUAGGCUUGUCAUCCCUCUUCCAAGGCAAAGGCUCGCCAUCAUAAAAGGAUGAUCGAGUCUCCGGAAUCCUUAAAUCUGCAGCCAAACUCAUCCUCUUGAAUGUAUAUUCAUACUCACAGUUUUGGUUUUGCAGGUCAUAGAUUUGGGCUUGGAGGUGUUCGAUUUUCUCAUGAAGCUUGAAGAUGGCCUCCCCAAUGUCCUUGGCGUCCAGUUUGUGGUUGUUGGUGAACUCCGUGAUCAUUAUGUGAUUGGAGUCGAGUCCACAUUCCACCAUCUCCUGACACUUGAAAAUUUGUUGCUCCAUUGCCUCGAGCCUUGUCUCCACGCUUCUGGUCCUCCUUGGUCCCUCAACAUCGCGGAUGUGCAACAACCCCUCACGCAUCUCAAUAGCUUGAGGAUGUUGCAGCACUUCCGCGAGGUAGGGGUUGAUGACCUUCUCGAAGGACUUGUCCUUAGGGGGCACUUGAGACGUCCUGGUGAUCUAGAUCUGUCAGAAAAACAACUCGAAACAAAAAUGGAGGAUAUUCGCUUGGUACGGUGGUCAAAACCUUCGGGAGAUUAUAUAAUGAAUUUUUACCGACCAAAAGAAGUAUCGUGCAAGAAAACGGAGUUCGGAGAGCACACGAGGUGCCCACGAGGCAGGGGGUGUGCCCAGGGGGGUAGGGCGCGCCCUCCACCCUCGUGGACGCCUCGUGUCCUUCCCGGACUACUUCUUAUUUUCCUAUUUUCUUAAAUAUUCCAAAACGGGGAAAAUUGCCAUUAGAACUGUUUUGGAGUCGGUUUACUUACCGUACCACGUACCUAUUCCUUUUCGGAGUCUGAAGCGUUCUGGAAAGUGUCCCUUAUGUAUUCCUCCGGGGUUACGGUUUCAAUAACAUUAGUUUCAACAUUUAUAGGAUUACCUGAGAUAUAAUGUUUGAUUCUUUGACCGUUCACCACCUUCGGAUUUGUGCCUUCGAAGUUGUUGAUUUUUAUGGCACCGGAACGAUAGACCUCCUCGAUGACGUAAGGACCUUCCCAUUUAGAGAGAAGUUUUCCUUCAAAAAAUCUUAAACGAGAGUUGAAUAGCAACACAUAAUCACCUACAUUAAACUCACACUUUUGUAUCCUCUUGUCAUGCCAUCUUUUAACUUUUUCUUUAAACAGUUUGGCAUUCUCAUAGGCCUGGGUUCUCCAUUCAUCAAGUGAGCUAAUGUCAAAAAGCCUCUUCUCACUGGCAAGUUUGAAAUCAUAAUUGAGCUCUUUAAUAGCCCAAUAUGCCUUAUGUUCUAGUUCGAGAGGUAAGUGACAUGCUUUUCCAUAAACCAUUUUAUACGGAGACAUACCCAUAGGAUUUUUAUAUGCAGUUCUAUAGGCCCAUAAUGCAUCAUCAAGUUUCUUGGACCAAUUCUUUCUAGAUCUAUUAACAGUCUUUUGCAAAAUUAGUUUGAGCUCUCUAUUACUCAAUUCUACUUGACCACUAGACUACGGAUGGUAUGGAGAUGCAAUUCUAUGAUUAACAUCAUACUUAGCAAGCAUUUUGCGAAAAGCACCAUGAAUAAAAUGUGAACCACCAUCAGUCAUUAAAUAUCUAGGGACUCCAAACCUCGGAAAAAUUAACUUCUUUAAGCAUCUUAAUAGAGGUGUUAUGAUCAGCACUACUAGUUGGAAUAGCUUCUACCCACUUAGUAAUGUAAUCAACAGCAACUAAAAUAUGUGUAUACCCAUUAGAGGAAGGAAACGGUCCCAUAUAAUCAAAGCCCCAAACAUCAAAUGGUUCAAUAACAAGUGAAUAAUUCAUAGGCAUCUCUUGACGUCUACUACUAUUACCAAUUCUUUGACAUUCAUCACAAGAAAAGACAAACUUUCGGGCAUCUUUGAAGAGAGUAGGCCAAUAAAAACCAGAUUGCAAUACCUUAUGUGCAGUUCUAUCUCCAGCGUGGUGUCCUCCAUAAGCUUCGGAGUGACACUUGCGUAGGAUCUAUUCCUGUUCAUGCUCAGGUAUACAACGUCUAAUAACACCAUCUACUCCUUCUUUAUAAAGGUGUGGGUCAUCCCAGAAGUAAUGUCUUAAAUCAUAGAAAAACUUUUUCUUUUGCUGGUAUGUGAAACUAGGUGGUAUAAAUUUAGCAACAAUGUAAUUAGCAUAAUCAGCAUACCAUGGAGCAGCGCGAGAAGCAUUUAUGACAGCUAAUUGUUCAUCAGGAAAGCUAUCAGACUAGCCACAAUGGGUAGUAACAUAGAGUAGUAACAUGUCAAUGUUACUAGUACCUCUAUAGUGGGGAGUAACAUAUGUGUGGUAACAUGCAACACUUCAUUUAUUAGGCUAUAGACUCAUCCUGCCUUGAUAUGUGUGAUGUUACUCAUACUACUAGUAACUAGCUAUGUUACUACAUGCCUCUCUUUCUUCAUUUAUUGUUUGCCACAUCAUCUAUUUUAUCUAGAUAUAUGUGAUGUUACUACCUAUGUUACUCCCACUGUGGGUACUCUCAUCAAUAGGUAGUGGGUCAUCAAGAACAUUUUCUAACCUAGACAAGUUGUCUACAACGGGGUUCUCAGCUCCCUUUCUAUCAAUAAUAUGCAAAUCAAAUUCUUGUAGCAGGAGAACCCAUCUAAUAAGUCUAGGUUUAGCAUCUUUCUUUUCCAUAAGAUAUUUAAUAGCAACAUGAUCAGUGUGAACAGUUACUUUAGAAUCAACAAUAUAAGGUCUGAACUUAUCACAAGCAAAUACAACCGCUAAAAAUUAUUUUUCAGUAGUAGCAUAAUUUCUCUGGGCAUUGUCUAGAGUUUUACUAGCAUAUUGGAUAACAUUUAGUUUCUUAUCAACUCUUUGUCCUAGAACAGCACCUACAGCAUAAUCACUAGCAUCACACAUAAUUUCAAACGGUAAAUUCCAAUCAUGUGGCUGGACAAUAGGUGCAGAAAUCAAUGCUUUCUUAAGUAUUUCAAAUGUUUCUACACAAUAAUCAUCAAAGACAAAAGGAGUAUCUUUUUGUAAGAGAUUAGUCAGAGGCCUGGAGAUUUUAGAGAAAUCCUUAAUGAACCUCCUAUAAAAACCGGCAUGACCAAGGAAGCUUCUUAUACCUUUAAUGUCCUUGGGACACGACAUCUUUUCAAUAGCAUCAACUUUAGCUUUAUCAACUUCAAUACCUCUUUCAGAAAUUUUAUGCCCCAAGACAAUACCUUCAUUAACCAUAAAGUGGCACUUCUCCCAAUUCAAGACAAGGUUAGUUUAUUCACAUCUCUGCAAAACUCGAUCAAGGUUGCUCAAGCAAUCAUCAAAAGAAGUUCCAUAUACGGAGAAAUCAUCCAUGAAAACCUCAACAAUCUUUUCACAAAAAUCAGAGAAUAUAGCCAUCAUGCAUCUUUGAAAGGUAGCAAGUGCAUUACAUAAACCAAAAGGCAUACGUCUAUAAGAAAAGGUACCGAAAGGGCAAGUAAAAGUGGUCUUUUCUUGAUCCUCUUUUGACACAGGUAUCUGAGAGAAACCAGAAUAACCAUCUAGGAAACAAAAAUGCGUAUGUUUGGAUAAUGUUUCUAGCAUUUGAUCAAUAAAAGGUAAGGGGUAAUGAUCCUUUUUAGUAGCUUUAUUUAAUUUGCGGAAAUCAAUUACCAUCCUAUAACACGUAACAAUUCUUUGUGGGAUCAAUUCAUCUUUAUCAUUAGGAACAACGGUAAUACCUCCCUUCUUAGGGACACAAUGGACAUGACUUACCCACUGACUAUCAACAACGGGAUAAAUUAUACCUGCCUCAAGAAGCUUUAGUAUUUCUUUUCUUACCACUUCCUUCAUCUUAGGAUUUAACCGUCGUUGGUGAUCAACAACUGGUUUAGCGUCUUUCUCCAAUUUUAUUUUGUGCUGGCAUAAAGUGGGACUAAUGCCCUUAAGAUCAUCAAGAGUAUAUCCAAUAGCAGUACGGUGCUUCUUCAGAGUUUUCAAUAAUUGUUCUUCUUCUUUCUCUGAAAGGUUAGCACUAAUAAUAACAGGAUAUAUUUUCUUUUCAUCAAGAUAAGCAUAUUUGAGAGUAUCAGGUAAUGGUUUAAGCUCAAACACGGGAUCACCCUUAGGUGGAGGAGGAUCCCCUAGGAUUUCGAUAGGCAAGUUGUGUUUAAAAAUGGGUCCAUUUUUAAAGAAUACUUCAUCUAUUUCCCUUCUUUCAUUCAUAAACAUAUCAUUUUCAUGGUCUAGCAAAUAUUGUUCUAAAGGAUCACUAGGAGGCACGGCAAAUAGAAGCAAGACCAAUAAUUUCAUCUUUACUAGGCAAUUCCUCAUUACAGGGUUGUCUACAAAAUUUAGCAAAAUUAAACUCAUGAGACAUAUCACCCAACCCAAUAGUAACAACAUCCUUUUCGCAGUCUAUCCUAGCAUUAACAGUAUUCAAGAAGGGUCUACCAAAUAUAAUGGGACAAAAGUCAUCUUGUGGGGAACCAAGAACAAGAAAAUCAGCAGGAUAUUUAACUUUCCCACACAAGAUUUCAACAUCUCUAACAAUCCCAACUGGUGAAAUAGUAUCUCUAUUGGCAAGCUUAAUUGUAACAUCAAUUUCUUCUAUCUCAGCAGGUGCAAUAUCAUGCAUAAUUUCUUCAUAUAAAGAAUGAGGUAUUGCACUGGCACUAGCACCCAUAUCACAUAAGCCAUGAUAACAAUGAUCUCCUAUUUUAACAGAAAUAACAGGCAUGCCUACAACAGGUCUAUGUUUAUCCUUAGUAUCAGGUUUAGCAAUUCUAGCAGCUUCAUCACAGAAGUAAAUAACAUGCCCAUCAAUAUUAUCAGCCAAGAGAUCUUUAACCAUAGCAAUAUUAGGUUCAACUUUAAUUUGUUCAGGGGGUUUGGGUGUCCUAAUAUUACUUUUGUUGACCACAGUUGAAGCUUUAGCAUGAUCCUUUAUUCUAACAGGGAAAGGUGGUUUCUCAAUAUAAGCAGUAGGAACAACAUGGAUCAUUAUAAGUGAUAGUAUUUUCUUCAACUUUAAUAGGUGCAACUACUUUUACUUCAAUGGGAGGAUUAUAUUUAAACCACUUCUCCUUAGGGAGAUCAACAUGAGUAGCAAAUGAUUCACAGAAAGAAGCUACUAUCUUAGAGUCAAGUCCAUAUUUAGUGCUAAAGUCACGGAAAAUGUCGGUAUCCAUAAAAGAUUUAACACAAUCAAACUUAGAUGUUAUACCUGACUCCUUACCUUCGUCGAGGUCCCAAUAUUCGGAGUUGCGUUUAAUUCUUUCCAAUAAAUCCCAUUUGAAUUCAAUAGUCUUCAUCAUAAAAGAACCAGUACAAGAAGUAUCGAGCAUGGAGCGAUUAUUGAGAGAAAGCCGGGCAUAAAAAUUUUGAAUAAUCAUUUCUCUUGAGAGCUCAUGAUUGGGGCAUGAAUAUAACAUUGACUUAAACCUCCCCCAAGCUUGAGCGAUGCUUUCUCCUUCGCGAGGCCAAAAAUUAUAUAUAUAAUUACGAUCACGAUGAACAAGAUGCAUAGGAUAAAACUUCUGUGAAAUUCCAAUUUCAAUCGCUUGUAGUUCCAUGAUCCCAUAUCAUCACAUAGCCUAUACCAUGUCAAUGCCUCUCCCUUCAAAGAUAAAGGGAAGACCUUCUUCUUGAUAACAUCAUCGGGCAUACCUGCAAGCUUAAAUAAUCCACAAACUUCAUCCACAUAGAUUAAGUGUAAAUCGAGAUGCAAUGUUCCAUCACCUGUGAAAGGAUUAGCUAGCAGUUUCUCUAUCAUACUAGAAGGAAUUUCAAACUAAACAUUUUCAGUAGAUUCAGUAGGUUGAGGAGCAACUCUUUGCUCCACUGGUCGGGGUGAAGAUACCCCGAACAAGCCCCUCAAAGGAUUAUGUUCCAUAGUAACAAGUGACAGUAAAUUUCAGCACACUAUAUAAAUUUUACCUUACCAAAUUCCACCUACCAAAGGCGCUUCACUCCCCAGCAACGGCACCAGAAAAGAGUCUUGAUGACCCACAAGUGUAGGGGAUCUAUCAUACUCCCUUCGAUAAGUAAGAGUGUCGAACCCAACGAGGAGGAGAAGGAAAUGAUAAGCAGUUUUCAGUAAGGUAUUCUCUGCAAGCACUAAAAUUAUCGGUAACAGAUAGUUUUGUGAUAAGGUAAUUUGCAACGGGUAACAAGUAAUGAAAGUAAAUAAGGUGCAGCAAGAUGGCCCAAUCCUUUUUGUAGCAAAGGACAAGCCUGGACAAACUCUUAUAUAGAGAAAAGCGCUCCCGAGGACACAUGGGAAUUAUCGUCAAGCUAGUUUUCAUCACGCUCAUACGAUUCGCGUUCGUUACUUUGAUAAUUUGGUAUGUGGGUGGACCGGUGCUUGGGUGCUGUCCUUCCUUGGAAAAGCAUCCCACUUAUGAUUAACUCCUAUUGCAAGCAUCCGCAACUACAAAAGAAGUAUUAAGGUAAACCAAACCAUAGCAUGAAACAUAUGGAUCCAAAUCAGCCCCUUACGAAGCAACGCAUAAACUAGGGUUUAAGCUUCUGUCACUCUAGCAACCCAUCAUCUACUUAUUACUUCCCAAUGCCUUCCUCUAGGCCCAAACAAUGGUGAAGUGUCAUGUAGUCGACGUUCACAUAACACCACUAGAGGAAAGACAACAUACAUCUCAUCAAAAUAUCGAACGAAUACCAAAUUCACAUGACUACUUAUAGCAAGACUUCUCCCAUGUCCUCAGGAACAAAUGUAACUACUCAUAAAGCAUAUUCAUGUUCAUAAUCAGAGGGGUAUUAAUAUGCAUAAAGGAUCUGAACAUAUGAUCUUCCACCAAAUAAACCAACUAGCAUCAACUACAAGGGGUAAUCAACACUACUAGCAACCCACAGGUACCAAUCUGAGGCUUUGGGACAAAGAUUGGAUACAAGAGAUGAACUACGGUUUUAGAGGAGAUGGUGCUGGUGAAGAUGUUGAUGGAGAUUGACCCCCUCCCGAUGAGAGGAUCGUUGGUGAUGACGAUGGCGAUGAUUUCCCCCUCCCGGAGGGAAGUUUCCCCGACAGAACAGCUCUGCCGGAGCCCUAGAUUGGUUCCGCCAAGGUUCCGCCUCGUGGCGGCGGAGUUUCUUCCCGAAAGCUUACUUAUGAUUUUUUUCCAGGGUAAAAGACUUCAUAUAGCAGAAGAUGGACAGCGGAGGCCUGCCAGGGGGCCCACGAGGCAGGGGGCGCGCCUCCCACCCUCGUGGCCAGGGUGUGGGCCCCCCUCUGGUACUUUCUUCACUCAGUAUUUUUUUAUUAAUUCCAAAAACUGCUUUCGUGAAGUUUCAGGACUUUUAGAGUUGUGCAGAAUAGGUCUCUAAUAUUUGCUCCUUUUCCAGCCCAGAAUUCCAGCUGCCGGCAUUCCCCCUCUUCACGUAAACCUUGUAAAAUAAGAGAGAAAAGGCAUAAGUAUUGUGAUAUAACUUGUAAUAACAGCCCAUAAAGCAAUAAAUAUUGAUAUAAAAGCAUGAUGCAAAAUGGACGUAUCAUCGGUAUGUUACUUGCCCGAGAUUCGAUCGUCGGUAUCUUCAUACAUAGUUCAAUCUCGUUACCGACCAGUCUCUUUACUCGUUCCGUAAUACAUCAUCCCAUAACUAACUCAUUAGUCACAUUGCUUGCAAGGCUUAUUAUGAUGUGUAUUACCGAGAGGGCCUAGAGAUACCUCUCUGAUACUAGAGUGACAAAUCCUAAUCUCGAUCUAUGCCAACCCAACAAACACCUUCGGAGAUACCUGUAGAGCAUCUUUAUGAUCACCCAGUUACGUUGUGACCUUUGAUAGCACACAAGGUAUUCCCCCGGUAUCCAGGAGUUGCAUAAUCUCAUAGUCAAAGGAAUAUGUAUAUGACAUGAAGAAAACUAUAGCAAUAAAACUGAACGAUCAACAUGCUAAGCUAAGGGAUGGGUCAUGUCCAUCACAUCAUUCUCCUAAUGGUGAUCUCGUUCAUCAAAUGACAACACAUGUCUAUGGUUAGGAAACUUAACCAUCUUUGAUUAACGAGCUAGUCUACUAGAGGCUUACUAGGGACACGGUGUUUUGUCUAUGUAUUCACACAUGUAUCAAGUUUCCGGUUAAUACAAUUGUAGCAUGAAUAAUAAACAUUUUCAUGAUAUAAGGCAAUAUAAAUAACAACUUUAUUAUUGCUUCUAGGGCAUAUUUCCUUCAGCACGCUCCAAACCAAUGCCCACAACCUUCAAAUAUGGAGGCUCGCGACCUAGAUAUGAUGCGCAUUUCAUAAAAUGUGCGAAUUGAAAGGCAUAUGGUGACUCUGUUAGAGUGCUGAUUUGGGACAAAAUCACUAUAUCGAUGGUUAUUAUGUCGAUCGGUCCGAUAUGACGACUCUACUAGAUUUUCCCUCACCAGGCAUGCCACAAGCACAUGAUCUGGCUCUUUUAGUUUCAACUUAUAGAGUGGAUUGGAGUAAUGCUAAAUUUACAGGGUGAGGUGACUGUCUCACGGUGACAAGGACAUUUAAGUUUGUAGACUCGGUCUGUUACCAAUCCUCGUGUAGGUUUAGCAUUUUUCAAGUGGAUUGGUGGUCUAGGCAUCGAGACUGUGGGAGAAUUUGUGUUAGAUUUACGUGAUUAGACCGUUGUGGAAAACUAAAUGGAGAGAUAAUGUUUGUUAACUAGGAAUCAGUGACAAUAUUCAUCGAGAUCAUCAAACACAUCUCAACCAUCGUUCACUAUUGUUUCAAAAAGUUGGCCCAAAUUUUGUAUCUUUUUUCCACACAUUCUAUGGGCCAAAGCGUAAAAGCAUAAUUGGGUGGCCUCUUGGCUUGCCUUGCCUGGUAGGCUGGCCAUGCCUUCUUAAUUUGAAUUUGCACAUCAUUGUCGGGGGAAAAACGAUUUGAAAGAAGUAUACCUUUCACUCAGUGGAGCCAUACCCCGGUCAUCUGGAUUUUGGUAUGCUCUUAACCCGAAAACAUAUCAAAUUUAGGUUAAUCAAGCCCUGAGUGGUUUAAUGUCACAUCAAAAGAGUUUUUCUGAUUAGGUGUCGAUUUGUCGGUUAUGUGGUGUUGAUAUGGUGGUAGAUCGAUGAAAUAACUAGUUGUACAUCAUUGCCUUCAUUUUCCUUCGAUUCAAUCAUAGUCGGACUUGCACGGGGGAGAGGAAUUGUUGUCUUAGCCAUCCACAGCUAGGGCUUCGCCGUUGUCAAACAACGUCUCAAUCAUCGGCCACCAUCUUCUUGGUAGUCCGUCAUCUUCACAUGGAGAGAGAGGCCGUCGUCUCAUCGUCUACAGCUAGCGCUUUGCCGCCGGCGGCCACCAUAUCAAUGUUAGGUCGUGACUCUAAUUUAGCCGAAAUGAAGCCAUGAGUCCAAGUUAGUACGUGAGAAAAAAAAUUGUUUGGGGGUCACAUAAUAUUUUGGUCUAGGAAAACAGGGGUUACUUUUGACCGCCCUCAUUCUGUCGGUAUAGGCAUAGGCAAAAAUGGAUUAAUUUGCAUAUUUCCGCCCUCCUUUAUAACAGGCUUGCCAUGCCAGCACCUAGUUAGUAUAAAAAAGAAAACUACAUGCGAGAACCAUUUUUGAUGUGGCAUUAAACCACCCCGGGUUUGUUUAGGCUGGCUUUGACAUGUUUGGGAUUGAAAUCAUACCAAAUUUCAGUUGACAGGGAUAUGACUUCAUUGCAGAGGAUUGAGGUAAAAAGUAUACUUCUUUCAAACGAAUUUGUAUGUGACACACGACCCAACUCAAAUGAAGGCGUACUAGCUAAACUGUAUGAUUUCUUAGCCAUUUCCACUAACUGGGGUUCCAUUUCCGCACACUUGGCAGCCCAACUAGCAGCAACAUUUUAAGAAUUAGAAGGAAAAUUGAUAACCGAAUAACCNNNNNNNNNNNNNNNNNNNNNNNNNNNNNNNNNNNNNNNNNNNNNNNNNNNNNNNNNNNNNNNNNNNNNNNNNNNNNNNNNNNNNNNNNNNNNNNNNNNNNNNNNNNNNNNNNNNNNNNNNNNNNNNNNNNNNNNNNNNNNNNNNNNNNNNNNNNNNNNNNNNNNNNNNNNNNNNNNNNNNNNNNNNNNNNNNNNNNNNNNNNNNNNNNNNNNNNNNNNNNNNNNNNNNNNNNNNNNNNNNNNNNNNNNNNNNNAUUUUUAAAAUCCUUGAUUUCAAGAUUAUUCAUGAUGUCUUCCCCCUUGUUUUCAUGUAUAUUUUUAUUUCACGACAUCUUUCUCUAUUUUCUUCAAAUUUACCGAUUUCCAGAAAACAUCCUCUUUGUUUUCAUGCAUGUAUAUGUUUUUGUGCAUUUUGGGGCUGACUUGGCUAUUCGUGUGAACUUACUGGUGUCAUUGUGAUAAUCGUUUUAAAUUGGACAAGUGGCCCAUCUAAAGGAAUGGACCAGAGACCAUACCCAAACAAUUUUGAUACUUUAAGAGCAAUAAUACCUGCAUAUACAUGACGAACAAAUUUAUACUUUGACGAUAAUUAAGAGAUAAAUCGGAGACCUUGAAUCACCAACAACAACCGCCUCCUGCCCCCCAAGAAAAAAAGGUGCUAGGUUUCCCUCCUAAGGGCUUCCCCACGGUUGGUUCCUCUUGCCUCCGGUUGCCGUCUGGCGCCAACGAGGUGUUGGGAACCUUGAUCUAGAUUAUCUCCAUAUUUUCUGGUCACCCUAUCUUUGCUUAGGAUGAAGUCUAAGUCUCUAGGUCGUGGUGGUGAGACGAUGGCGCUGUUGGUGGUGAGGAAUAAGCCCUCCAUGUCAUGUCCCUAUUCCAGCGAUCUUGUUUGGCAUCGGUGGAGAGUAUGUGGAGCUUCAGUUCAGGGCGAGAUCAUCGGCCUUAUUUUUGUCUUCAAUUUAUCUAGGUCUCGACAAUAUCCUAUAGAUAGAAUGAUGUGAUGCCAUGUUUUUGUUCUAUGGUUGCUUCUCCGUUUAACAAAGCUCGGUCAAAGUCAAAUGGGACUCCAUCGAGGAACUUGCUAGGUUUGUCCCCCCUCGUAUGUCUCUUCAAAGCUGGAAUCAUCUUUUGGCCCUCCUCAGUGCCAGCUUCUUCGGGAUGGCAAUAUGUCCAGAUUUUGAUAGUCGGUGUCUUCUAGUCUACAUCGACAACUUCAUGGUUGUUGCUUCUUCAAGAUCCUUGAAGGAACGAGAAGGUGAAUGUGGACAACUACAAAUUUUACUUUGAUUACUAGCAAGUUUAGGCUACACGGAAUAUGAAGAUAUGUCUAAACAUUUGGUACGUCGAGAUAAACAACCUAUAUGAUACUUGCAAGGUCAAGUGACAAAAUCAUAGGUAAUAGCUUUUUUUUUGCAGGAACCACAGGUAAUUGCUAUGGUUAGUAUUAACCGAAAACUAUAAAGCUGCAACUUUAUGUUAUAAAAAUAAAAAUUAUAAAUAUAAAUAAAUAAAAUAAACUCUCUAAAAAUUGUUACGUACUCCCUCCGUUCCUAAAUAUAAGUCUUUCUAGUGAAUCCACUAGAUGGACUAUAUACGGAGCAAAUUAAAUGAAUUUACACUUAAAAUGCAUCUAUAUACAUCCGUAUGUGGUUUAUAGUGGAAUCUCUACAAAGACUUAUAUUUAGGAACGGAGGGAGUAUAAUACUUAUCCGACCGCUUGGAGCUCCAGUUUCAGAAGUGAUGAGAAAUAUAAAGGCAAGGAAAUCCCUUUCCACUGACAAGCUGGGCCCAAGAGUCAGAGCACGUGAACCGCUCCGUGCACGUGCACGCUCUCCCCUUGACCUACCGGCUUUGUGUUUUUCCCCUUCCCGAAUUUCUUCCCCCCUUCCGGUGGCGAUCUGCCUCCGACGACCGGAACCACGUCGAGCGUUUGACCCUCUCCUCCUCCUACCCCCUGCACUAGAUCGAAUCACUCUUACUGCCUGGAUCGGGCCUCCCGGAGUAGCGGAGGAGAAGGAACGGCGGGGCUUGGAGAGAGGGCUGGGCGCUUGCGGCGGCGGCGGCGGCGGCGGCAGCAGAGCCGUGCUUGCCGGCUACAGAGGCGAUUGGGGGGUGGAGGUGAGGUGGAGCAUCUGGCUCAUUCGAGGUCCGGCCGAGGGCAGCGAUUUGGGGGACAGCAGUGCACAGUCGCAGAGCUUUGGUGAACACAAGUGACUCAAAAUACCAAGUAAGAAGGUGUACUUUCUGCUCAGUUGUAGAGCUUUGCUGUCAAGAUUCAUGUUUCUGAGUAGUGACCAGCGAGCAUUUUUUUUUUACAUUCAUGUUAAUGAAGCUCCACUCUGUCAGCAUGGCUAGCUUGUUUGAUGUCCAUGUGAGAUGGGGAAAUUCUAUAAUGGAAACUUGGAUAUACAGAAGCUGCUGGCUUAGGAUCGUUACAUGUAUGAGUAUUACUUUGCUGUAGACACCUUCAUAUACCUGUCAUUUCUCCUUUAUAAAAUCCACGGGGCUUCUCCCCUGUUGGAAUUCGUAUAGGAUAAUUCCUGACAUUUGGUUCUGCAUCCGUAACUGAUGUGAACCAUGUGACUCUAGGCGUGUCCACACCAGGGUAUCUUAUGCAAACUUAAUGUGCAUGUUAUUAUCUGUGAAUUCGUAAAAAUAUAUUUCUUUGUGGUUAGUUUUGGUUAACAUUUUGCUGUUGAGACUGUUCAUCUAUAUGAGUGAAUACAGUGAAGAAAUGUUCUUUGUGGAGCCACUUAGUAGAUUUAUUAAAUUGCAUAAAGUGUGGCAGUAUAAUAACUCUGCAUUAUGUCUUUGUUUCCCUUCAAUUGCAUUUGCAGUCUCUCUGGUGGAGCAUGUACUAAACUGUUAGCGGAAGGGUUCGAGGAGUAUGUUUACCCGAGCUUGAAACCUGAUUUACUCAUAGCUCAGGAAGAACUGGUGAAGCCAUCCACGCGUGUUUGGAUAUUGAUUCCAUUAUAUUGCAGCACAGUAUGUACUUCUGUUGAGUGAUGGAUAAAAAUGACCUGGUAGAAUGAGAAGGAAUUAAAGAACUGUUUCAAUGAACAUCCUACAAGACCUUAAGCAUCUCAAGCACAUUAGCUUGCCGGCGAGGCUUAUCAUUUGCAAGUGCCUUCUCAUAGUGAUUGGCCUUAUUGUAUUGAGAGCAAUUAUCUCCCCUUUUCUUGCCAUUAGCUCGUCUGAAAAGAGUUUUUAUGAGUCACCAACCCUUGACUUGUUCCCUGGAGUUAGGAAAGGUAAGUUUGUUGAGGUCCCGCAGAUUAUAUGGGGAUUGAACAAUCAGAAGAUUGCAUUUGCCAGAGCAUGCUUGACGGCAAAAUUCCUGAACCGUUCUCUACUCAUGCCAAGUCUGAGUGCUUCGCUUUUCUACAAAGAGGUUGACUUGCUGCAGCCUAUUGCUUUCGACAAGGUAUUUGACCUUAACAAGUUCAAUGCCCGCUGUCAUGGGUUUGUAAGAGUAGCUCGGUAUUCAGAAGUUUCAAAUCGUACCGAGCCUUUCAAACUUCAAAAGGGCAGUGGUAGGAGGUGGACAGUGGAGAGAGAUUUGGAUCAACUGCAACAAUCCAGAUUGGGGGAGGCCGAUGGCUUUGAAGUGAUUCAUGUCACUGGGAAGCAUCCAUUUCUAUGGCCUGAUCAUUGGCCAGUGAAAGACUAUGCCAGGAUCUUUGAUUGCCUUGCUGUAGCUCCUGAGAUAGAUACUGAAGUUGUCAGGGUCAUAUCCAAGAUUAAAGAUGCAGGGAAAAAAGCAAGACAUGAUGCUGCCGUUUCUCAUAAUAAGAAGAGGAUAGAUGGUUUGAAAAAUCUUCCUGUGCAGUACAUUGCUGUUCACAUGAGAAUAGAGAAAGAUUGGAUGAUUCAUUGCAAGAAGUGGGAGCAGCGGUCCAAUUUAAAGGAAAUUUGCAGCAGCAAAGGAGAGAUCAUUCAUAAGGUCUCACAGAUCACUGACCUACGUCGCCCGGUUGUAGUAUAUCUUGCAGUAGCCGACAGCCUUCUAGAAGAUGAUUCAGUAACCAGUGGUUGGAGAGUUGGUAUGGUUGCUUAUGAGAAGAAGAAACUUGGAGUUACUGACAUAUACGAGAAGCAGCCUUACCUUAUAAAGUCUGCCAUCGACUUUGAGGUAUGCGCAAGAGCGGAUGUGUUUGUUGGCAAUAGUUUCUCAACAUUUUCCAACCUUGUAGUAUUGUCUAGAACAGAAAGGUUAUACAAGUUAGGGAAGGCAAGCUCAUGUGGUGAGGAUGUUGGGCUGUCGUCCUAUGCGUACAAUGUCAUCGGAGAUGAUGGCGGGCCACAGAAAUGGAUGACAGAUAUGUUGGACACAAGCCUUCAGCGCAUAAGUUACGGAACAAAUAACGUCUCCUGCCACUGACCUUCAACACAUGUAACAUCUAACCAAGACACAACCGCAGACAGGAAGAUAGUUUUGGCUGAAUCUUGUCUAGAAAUGAGCAGGUGCAGCAGCUUCACGUUACUUUCCAUGCUAGAAUCUUGACAGUUGCAGUGGCAUGUCGCACUUACAAAAUACUUUGGCCAAGAAUUCUUUGUGUAAGUGUGUACAGAAGUUGUUUCCUGAGCAGCAUUAUGCCGAACAGUUUUUUAGUUUGCAGAGCUAAAUGUUGUGUGAUGCAUUGUUUGCGUUCUGUGGUUUACUGGGAGGAACUUGCCUCACACUGUAGAGAAUCUGACGCUGGCACUGUCACAUGAAACAUUUGUAUCAAGUGUAUUCGUUCGUGUAUGCUGUUAAAACUCUUGAUUCUGUAGCACCUUGUAAUUUCCUUGAGAAUGAUUCUUCUUUGGAUGUGUUCCUUCCCAACAAAAUGCC
rnacentral:lncRNA from 1 species